rnacentral:lncRNA from 1 species
CAAGUUAUAAACAUUAUAUUAUAAGUACGAACACAUAUGAGAUUUUGAGAUAAUUAUGACAAAAAAAUUCUUAUAUUAUAAAUCACAAAAAAAAUUAUUAUAAAAAUAAUUUAUGUAUUUUAUAACUAUAAUACCCAAUUUUAGCCCACGCCUAAAUAAACAAAGGUGCCCAGUCCAUUUAAAAACUUAAUUCACGUGGCCCAAUCACAAAUGUUACAAGCCCAAAUUGUAACCCAAUUACAUUAGCCUAAAACCAAAUUUAACCUAGCCCAAUAAACCCAUCAAAGAACCCUCUUCGCAUCAGUGCUGCAGCAGCAAGUAGCCUCCCCAAUGCCGCACACGUUCUUCCUCCAGCGGUUAUCGCCUCGCACAACCCACGUUCUCCAACGCCCACACCUGCAACAAAUCGUGACCACGAACAAAGAUAAUAGCAGAAAAUACAAGGGAAAAAAGGAAAAAAGAGAGUAGUUUUUGGGAGUUUUGAUUCCCUUAUUUCGGCUAUUAAAGCCAAUUGGAUUUUUGUAAAUGGGGUUAGCAAAAUUUUUAUACCGAAAUCAAAAAGAAAAUAGACGAAAAGAAACAUUUUUGAAGGUGGGAUAUUGUUUUCUUUCUCUGUUCUUUUACUGUUUUUUUUUAAUUUACCUUGUUCUUUUCUUUUGCUUCUUUUUUAAAAAAACAACAAAAAUAAACGAAGAGGGAGAGAAAGGGGGCUUACCUGGUGUCGCCGGAGCGUCGUCGGAGGCCAAGGGACGGCUUAGCGGCGGUGGAUCUUUGACGGUGGCGACGUGUGGGGAGGGUGCUAAGAAAAAACCUAGCAGAGAAUCCCCCCUUUUUCCCCUCUGUUCUUAAAAGAAAAUGGAAUAAAGAUGUUUUUAAAGGAAAUGUUUUUUUCCUUAUUUUUUUAAUAUUAACGAGGUUUUUUAUUCAAAUGGUUUAUUUUCGAAACUGGUCCUCUCUUUUUACAGUGCUUGUAAAUUAAAUUAUUUAUUUCUUAUAAAUUUGGCCACAUGUUUUAUAACUGUUUCAAUCUGACCCGUAUUGUUGUGCAGCGUUUUGGAGGGAGGGAUUAUUUUCCCUUUUGAUCCUUCAAAGUUAAUUGUGCAUUCUAAUUGGUCCAUUUGCAUUUUAUUUUUUAUAAAUUUGCCCUAAAUGUUUGUUUAAAGUCUAAAUUUGUAACGGCCCAAAUUUCAGUGAUAUCGGAACAGUGAUUUGAGAUCACUAAAUCCGACAAGUAUGUUUAAAAAUUUAAUAAAUUAAUAAUUAUGAGUCAAGUGUGAAUUUAGAAGAAUUUUGAAUUAGUGAAUUUUGUGUAAAAAAAAGAGAGAAAAGAAUUUAAUAAGUAAAUUGGGUCUAAAAUGAGGUAUCGAGACCUCGAAUUCAUAAACCAAGCCAUAAAUAUUUUUAGAAAUAUUUAUGGAGUGUAAAUAAGUUAGUAUUAAAGUUUUGUCAAGAAAUUUUAAGAUUUCGGUAGUUAAUUAGGUGAAAAGGACUAAAUUGAACUAAUUGUAAAAUUGUGAGAUGUGAUUAAAUAGCUUAAGUAUUUAAAAAGAUGGAUUUAAAGAGCAAUUAGACCCAAAGGUUAAUGGCCGGACGGUUUAGGUAUGAAAUAAGCAAGAAAACAAUGUGAACAAGGGGCAAAAUUGGAAAUAGCAUAAAAGUUAGUAAUUAAAUAAUGAUGUAAUUGAAAAAUCUAGACAUUUUCUUCAUCUUUCUCAGCCAGAAACGUCGUACCAGGUCUCCUAUGCUGGUUUUUCAUAUUUUUACACCAUAUCAAGAGAAACGAGAUUCAAGUCGUGAUCGAGGGAAAAAUAAAGUUUACGAGGAAUAGGCUCGAUUGCUAAUAUUUUAUAUCGAGUUUUGACAAGCUAGCUCGGAAAUCGGGAACGGUCGGAGGCCCACUCACACUAUACGUAUACCAUCUUGGCAUAAUGGCUUGUAUAUUUUGAGUAUGGCAUGUAUAGCAUUAUAAUCAUUUUGUAUAUAUGGUCUUAUGAUAUGGUUAUUGAGUGGUAUGAAAAUGCUUGGUAAUGAUUAGCCAUUGGAAUGGCUAAUCAUGAUCAUAUUUGGUGUUAUGUAUGUCAAAUUGCUAGUUAAUCCAUGGAAACCAUGAAAUAGGUAAAAUUUACCAUAAAAUAGAUUCAGACAGCAGUAGAGAUGAGAAUUUGAAAAAUCACUAAAAAUAGUAGAAAUGGAAUUAAAUAAUGAAUAAGUUAUGGAAUCGAAGCUUGAUGAGUCUAUUUUCAUAUGGAAGAAGCGAAACAGGUAUAUGAUCUAUAUUUUAUGAGAUGUUUAAAUUUUUGUGAAACAGGGCCAGAGCGAUUUCUGGAUCCCCUGUUCUAAAUUUGGAAAUUCACCAUAAAUUUUAAAAAGAUAAUUAGAAGUCAUGCUUUAUAUGUACAGAUUCCUUAUUGAGUCUAGUUUUAUUAGAAACAAACGGCAUAGUCAUUUAAGCUCUGUACAGGGAGAUAUCUGAUUCAUAAUACACAGAGGUCAGAGUAGUCGAACCCUGAAACAGGGGAGACUUUAACUAAUAAACUGUACUAAUUGGCCCAACCAAAAAUUCUAGAAAAAAAAUUAGUAGAUAGAUAUAUGAGUCUAGUUUCAGGAAAAAUUUACGGAAUUGAAUUUCGAGUUUCGGAACUCGAGAUAUGAAUUUUUAAGCAACUAUGAUGCAGUUGGACAGCUUGUCCGAAUUUGUUUAAGUGCUCAAAUAAGUUUAGUAAUGCCUCGUGCUCGACUCCGGCGAUGGUCUCGAGUAAGGGGGCGUUACAUUUAUUGGUAUCAGAGCAGGUUUAGUCGGUUCUCGGACUAACUUAGUAUGUGUAAAAGUUUAGCUAUACAUGCCAUGCCACUGAUCUGUGAUAGUGUGAUGUUUUCCGACGCGUAUAAGUACCGUCUUAUUUAUACAGGGUACUCUCCAACCGAGAUGCGCUGACCAUGUUCAAUAUUAUGUGAAGGUAUUUGAGUAAAGUUAUGAUUAUGAUAAGUGUCGGUUCAGAAAAGUAUGAAUAAAAGUUUAUGAUACAUAUGUGAUAAUAUGUGAGAUGAAAGUUCAUGUUAUGAUAAAUAUCCAUAUUUGCUUAAUACUCAUAUGAUGUAGUGUAUGUGGCUUACUUGAUAAGAUGAACGGAAAAAAAUAGAAAGUAGUAGAGGUAUGAAUAAAGGUCAUAAUAUCAUGAUACGAAUGAAAAUGUCCUAGCCUUGAUUGGACGUUGAAUGUUGAUGAAUGUUAAUGAUAUAUAAUUUUUAUGAGAUAAAGGAUUAUAAUGAAAUGAACUUAUCUAUGUUAAAUUGUUGGACUGAAUUAUAUGAUUGUAAUGAUAUGCACAUGAUGAUGCACGAAAUGAAAGUUGUGAUUGUGAUGCAAAUAUCUGUGUUUGUUUGGUCUUAUAUGAUGUCAUGAACAUGAAUUAAUUUAAAUAAAUGAAUGGAUAAGUAAAGUUAUCUAGAAAACAUAGAAUGUAUGCAUAAGUAUAUUGUCUAAAUGGGACAAUGGGAAAAUUUGAGUAAGCCAACAUGAAUAUUGCAUUGCCUGAAUAAAUGAUAUGAUUUUGAUGAUGUUGCUAUGAUGAUGGAAGUUGUGUCAUAUGUGUAUGUAUAAGAAAGUCGAGUCAGAGGUCCUACAACCCCUCCCCCUUACCGAAGUGGUACUUAUAAUGGAAUUUCAUGAGAUUUGUAUUGAAUAAGUUUCCAGUUGAGAACCCAAAGAGUUCAGUGAUAGAAUAAUUAUAAGUAUGAUCAGAGAUUGAAAAUGAGCUGAUAAGUAAAGUCUGAGACAGUAAAGUAUCGGAUUGAUGUAAAGAUUAUUGGAGUUAUGCACUGUCCCAAUUAGAGAAGGAAUUCUCUUUGGUAAAUCGAAUUACUCAGGUGCAAGGUCGAGAAAAGAGUAAAUCGAAAUUUAUUCAGAACUGGCAUUCUUUAGUGAAUGGUUUAAUAUGAAAUUUGUGACGGCAGAACUAGUUAGGGAAAUGAUAUUUGAAAUGUGAACUAUCUGAGUGUGAUAGUUAUGACUGGGCAGAUUUAGCAGUCUCUUUUGAGAUGUUCUAUGUGUUUACCCGUUCUCAGAAAUAUUUCUAUGGCUAUUGAUCUUCUGAAGAAAUUUUUGUUAUAUGGGAAUGUCUUUUAAUCCUGGUGUUGGAUGAAAGCAUUGGUAGUCUGACUGGUUUAUAAUUUAUAUUGCUCUAUUUCAUCGGGUAUUCUAUUUCAUUUUGUCUGAUAAGAAUUGAUGAAAGAAUACGUAUGAUAUUAUGAUUUUGUUUCUUCUACUUGAUGCUUCUCUGAUAUAUAUGUAUGGGAAGAUAUAUUGUUCUUGUUAUAUUUGACUCUAGUGGGAUUAAAUGAUGUUUUCUUUUAGACUUUCUUUCUUUGAAGAAUUAUCGGGGUAUUCUGUAUUUUCUCUAUGAGUUUGGUUUUCGAUUCUCCGGCAUAGUAUCGUAUCUUGGGUUUCUUUAUCCUGGAUCUCUUUAUUCUGGAUUUCUUUAUUCUGGGUUUCUCUAUUUUGGAUUUCUUUAUUCGGUUUUCUUUUUAUCUUUGCUCCAUAAUUUGUCAAUUACGACUCAUGUUCGAAGUACGUUCUUCAGCUUGUGAUAAUCAUGUCAAAUAUAACUAUACUUCUAAUUUGAUCUUGGUAAUGUGGUGAUUUUAGUAUUGGGAUUUUUUUCUUCUAAUUUCUGUGUAAGGAUUUGACAUCAGUAAAGGCAUAGGUGAUAAAAGCGCGAGUUUCAGUCGGUAUGGUGAAUUAUUUAUUUGAAAGAUUUCGUGUGACAAUUAUGUUAGGAUUAUUUUUCUCAAGUUUGAUAAUAGAAUUUCAUUUUUGUGCUGAUAAAAGAGUAAAUAGUCUGAACGAGAAGUGUAUAUUUAUUAGAAAGAGUUGGAUAUUAGUUAAAGUCACUAUGAAUGAUAAGGUUUUCUUCUUGUGAAAGCUGAAAAGUUUAUUACAUGUUGACAGAGUUCGGAUAGAUGAGAAUAUUGGUAACCGAAGCGUCUGAACUAGACUAGUCUACAUUGAGCAAAGACUUCCUGACUUUUAGUAAUGUACUGUUGUAUGAAUUGUGAUAUGUUUCAAGAUAGUGAGGUAAUGUGAUAGUUUAGAGCAUUCGAUGUUCCAUAAAAUCUGAGUUAUUAAAGAGGUUAAAGCCGAGCAUUGGGAUCUAUCAAAAUUAUCCUUGCCAGUGUUGAUAUUGGGAUGGAAAUGAAAAGGAUUAUUCUUGAGGCCAUAUCAGAAUUAUUUCUAUGGCGGAAAGAGGAAAAUGUGAUGUAUCCUAUUCUUAAAUGUUUGGCGAGAUCUAUAAAUCAUAUCGGUAUUGAAUGAAUUCCUACUCAUCAGAUUCAUGGAAUUUCAGCUCUCUUUGAUUGUUGGAUUUCUUGGAAUUUCGGUCUCCAUUAAAUCAAGUUGAGAUACAGGUUUUAUGUCAUGAUAUCAUGGGAAACUGAGAAGGGUUGAAAAUUUAAGAACAAUUAAGAGAUGAGUCCGUAAGCUUUCAGAAUAUAUGAGAAAUUAAAGAGAUAUAUUGGAGGCACCGCCUGAGUGAAAGUUCUUCAGCACCGAAUAUGAAAUUGAAGAAUCUAAGUGAAUACCACUUUUCCGGUAAGAUUUUCGGGGACGAAAAUCCCUAAAGGGGGGAGAGUUGUAACGGCCCAAAUUUCAGUGAUAUCGGAACAGUGAUUUGAGAUCACUAAAUCCGACAAGUAUGUUUAAAAAUUUAAUAAAUUAAUAAUUAUGAGUCAAGUGUGAAUUUAGAAGAAUUUUGAAUUAGUGAAUUUUGUGUAAAAAAAAGAGAGAAAAGAAUUUAAUAAGUAAAUUGGGUCUAAAAUGAGGUAUCGAGACCUCGAAUUCAUAAACCAAGCCAUAAAUAUUUUUAGAAAUAUUUAUGGAGUGUAAAUAAGUUAGUAUUAAAGUUUUGUCAAGAAAUUUUAAGAUUUCGGUAGUUAAUUAGGUGAAAAGGACUAAAUUGAACUAAUUGUAAAAUUGUGAGAUGUGAUUAAAUAGCUUAAGUAUUUAAAAAGAUGGAUUUAAAGAGCAAUUAGACCCAAAGGUUAAUGGCUGGACGGUUUGGGUAUGAAAUAAGCAAGAAAACAAUGUGAACAAGGGGCAAAAUUGGAAAUAGCAUAAAAGUUAGUAAUUAAAUAAUGAUGUAAUUGAAAAAUCUAGACAUUUUCUUCAUCUUUCUCAGCCAGAAACGUCGUACCAGGUCUCCUAUGCUAGUUUUUCAUAUUUUUACACCAUAUCAAGAGAAACGAGAUUCAAGUCGUGAUCGAGGGAAAAAUAAAGUUUACGAGGAAUAGGCUCGAUUGCUAAUAUUUUAUAUCGAGUUUUGACAAGCUAGCUCGGAAAUCGGGAACGGUCGGAGGCCCCCUCACACUAUCCGUAUACCAUCUUGGCAUAAUGGCUUGUAUAUUUUGAGUAUGGCAUGUAUAGCAUUAUAAUCAUUUUGUAUAUAUGGUCUUAUGAUAUGGUUAUUGAGUGGUAUGAAAAUGCUUGGUAAUGAUUAGCCAUUGGAAUGGCUAAUCAUGAUCAUAUUUGGUGUUAUGUAUGUCAAAUUGCUAGUUAAUCCAUGGAAACCAUGAAAUAGGUAAAAUUUACCAUAAAAUAGAUUCAGACAGCAGUAGAGAUGAGAAUUUGAAAAAUCACUAAAAAUAGUAGAAAUGGAAUUAAAUAAUGAAUAAGUUAUGGAAUCGAAGCUUGAUGAGUCUAUUUUCAUAUGGAAGAAGCGAAACAGGUAUAUGAUCUAUAUUUUAUGAGAUGUUUAAAUUUUUGUGAAACAGGGCCAGAGCGAUUUCUGGAUCCCCUGUUCUAAAUUUGGAAAUUCACCAUAAAUUUUAAAAAGAUAAUUAGAAGUCAUGCUUUAUAUGUACAGAUUCCUUAUUGAGUCUAGUUUUAUUAGAAACAAACGGCAUAGUCAUUUAAGCUCUGUACAGGGAGAUAUCUGAUUCGUAAUACACAGAGGUCAGAGUAGUCGAACCCUGAAACAGGGGAGACUUUAACUAAUAAACUGUACUAAUUGGCCCAACCAAAAAUUCUAGAAAAAGAAUUAGUAGAUAGAUAUAUGAGUCUAGUUUCAGGAAAAAUUUACGGAAUUGGAUUUCGAGUUUCGGAACUCGAGAUAUGAAUUUUUAAGCAACUAUGAUGCAGUUGGACAGCUUGUCCGAAUUUGUUUAAGUGCUCAAAUAAGUUUAGUAAUGCCUCGUGCUCGACUCCGGCGAUGGUCUCGGGUAAGGGGGCGUUACAAAAUUAGAAUAUUUUCUUUCUUUCUUCUUUAUUUCCAUUAAUAUUACCGUAUUAUUAUCAGUUUAUUAUUAUUAUCAUAUUAUAUAGUAUUAUUAUAUUUAUUUAUAUGUGUAUAUACAUAUUAAUAUAUAUAUACAUUUUUAAAACGUUUUAAAAUAUACACUAUAUGUAUAUCAUAUAUUUGAUUAUUACUUUAUUUUUCUUAGUUUUAUAUACAUAUGCAUAUAUAUAUUUAUAUUAUAUAAUUUUCAUAUCAUUUUUUUUUAUUUUAAAGAAAUUCGAUCAAUUAUAUAUGUUCUUUUAAAUAUAUAUAUGUAUAUACGUUAUUCAUAAGUAUUUAAAUAUAUUUUUUGCAUUUGUCUCGCAUACAUAUAUACACAUUUUCAUAUUUUUAUAAUUAUAUUUUACUUAUAUUUUUUUAUAUACCUAUACAUAUUUUAUACCUCGCUUUCAUAGUUUUUAUAUAUACGUUUAACGUUUGCAUAGGCAUUUUAUUUUAAGAUAUACUUAUAUGUCAUAAUUUAUUUUGUAAAUACACAUAUAUGCAUAAUUUAAAUUAAAAUAUUUGUUUCAUAUUGCAUUAAUAUUUUAAUAUAUUUUCAAAAUAUAUAUUGAUUUUGUUAAAACAUUUAAAACGGUUUUAUGAUCCAAAGGCUUUCAAAAUAAAAACGAUAUUCAAGGUUGGGGAUUUUCGAGGGAAAUUGAGCCCUAACGUAUUGGGUUCCGAUUUUCUUUAUCAAUUCCAAAUAACCGAGAAUAUUCGUUAUUUAAAAUGUAUAAGUAUAAAAAUCAUUUUCGGGAACUUAAUUUGUGGUGUCCUAACAUAUUGGCAUGACAUAUUAUUUUCUCGAAAUGAAGAUUUUCUUUAAAAGCUAAAGGUGAUAUUCAAAUUCGGGGAUUUUGAGAAAUUGUACCCUAACGUAUUGGGUCUCAAUUUCUUCGCAUGACUUGAGUAAUUGAUUAUCCUUUUCAGAUUUCAACAUUUGAGUUUGACAAAAUCUCUUUAAUUUUCGACUCCAAGACACUAAACAAUCAAUUUGGUACCGAUUUUUGGGCGUUACGAGGGUGCUAAUCCUUCCUCGUGCGUAACUGACUCCCAAACCCGUUUUCUCAAAUUUCGCAGGCGAAAUUUGUUUUUAAGGUGGGCCGAUCACACCUCAAUCAACGAUCGGUGGCGACUCCAAUUUUUGUUUUUAAAGUCGAUAACUAAAUUUUUUUUGUUUUCAAAAAAAUGGUUUCGACAAUAACAAAAAUGUAUUAUUAAAUCCUAAAAAUUUAAAUUUAUGGAAAAAAAGUUUGUUAUAAAAAAUAAUUUACGUGUUAUAGAAGUGUUAUAAUAUAUUUAUCUAUAAAAAGUUAUGGUCAAAAAGUAUGAACAUAGCUUAUUUAUAUGUAUAUGCUAUAUAUUAUAAAAAUAAUAUAUUUAUUCAUAAAAAAAAAGUUAUAGUUGUUUUUAUCAUAACUUAUUUAUAAAAAAAAUAACUUUCUAAAAUUAUAACAAAAAGUAUAAUAUAUUAUUUUUAUUUAAUUUAUGUAUUAUAAAAGAGAUAUAAUUUAGCAUAAGUCUUUCUCCAAAUUAAGUUUAUAUAAAUUUUUAUAAUUAAAGUUAUAAACUAUUUAGACUAUGAACCCAAAUAUUAUAAGGUCGAUGCUAAUUAUGUAAAUAGAAAAUAUUUUUUUGCACCAUAUCAUGAGAUAUGAUACCAUUUGAGAGAAUAAUGCCAAACACAAGCACUAUAGAUCGCUCACAGAUUCUUUACUUUGAGAUAUUCAAGGUUUUGAAAUGUGAUUGAGAAUAUGCUUGUUGUUUAAAAAAAAAUAUUUCUCAUAUUAGCACCACCACCUUGGUAUAAUAUUAAAAGAAAAUAAGGUUGGAUCGUAUUAGCAUUGUCGAAACCAUUUUUAUUUUGAAAAACGGGGUCGACUUUUAAAACGAAAAUGGAGUCGCCACCAAUCUUUUUUUCGAGGUGUGAUCGGGUCACCUUGAGAUUAAUCAUUUUAAUAAAACAUUUUGAUUUAUUAAAAUAAUGAUUUUGGUCUACAAAAUUCGAGAAAAUAGGCUCGAGAGUUGGUUACAUAUGAGGAAGGAUUAGCACCCUCGUAACGCCCAAAAAUUGGUACCUAAUUGAUUAAUUAACGUCCUAAUAAUGUCAAAAAUUUGAAAAGAUUUUAAAAUACGAUCCUCUUUAAAAAUCUGAAUAAAUCGAAUUUAAUGUUAAGACCUCCUUGUCCCGAAGCAAUAAGAUGUCACAUCCAGUAAGUUAGGAUACGACAUUUUAACCCUCGAAACUAAGUUUGUCUCAUGCAUUAAAGUUUUAAAAAUGAUAUUCGGUUAUUUGGAUAAAAAAAUCGAAACCCAGUAAGUUAGGGCACGAUUUUCUCAAAGCUCCAAAGUACCGAAUAUUGCCUUAUUUUUAAAAGUUUUCUUUUUUAAAAUUAGGGAAAAUUUACUCAAUAUUAAAACGAUGCAUAAAAACUUUGAUAAAAAAACGGCAAUAUGAAAAUACAAAUAAAAAAUUUACAAAACAUAUAAUGGCAAUUAUUUAAAUACUAGCAUCAAUAAUCAAAGACCAAUGAAUUUAAAACAAAGAGUAUAAAAAAAUAAAAGGCAAAAUAAAAUGUAAACAAAUUAAAAAAUAAUGAAUUUGAGAAUGAAUAAUAAGAGAAAAAGAAAUUUGAAAUCAACAAUAUACAAAUCAAUAAAGAAAUUAUAUAUAUAUAUAUAUAUAUAUAUAAAGUAGGUAAUAUAUGUAUAAGUUUGGAAUAAAUAAUAUAUAAAAAAUGAAAAUAGGUAAUAUAUAAAGUAAUAAUAUAUAAAUGAGUUUAAAAAUAAAUAUUGUGUAAUAAGGAAUUUAGAACAAGUUAUACACAAAACAUCUUAAAAAUAAAUGGUAUAUAUAUAAAAUAGAUAGUAUAAAAAAAAAUUUGCAAUUGAUAAUAUAUGGAAAAAAAAUUAAAGCAAAUAAUCAAACAAUUUAAAAUGGAUGAUUUAUAACACGAGUUUUUAAAAAAUAAACAACAUGUGUGACAUAAUAUUAAAAACAAAUAAAAUAUAUAAUUAAUGGAAGAAAAUAAAAUAAUGAUAAGAAUGGUUAAAUGAAUGAACAAUAUGUAAAAAAGAAAGUCGAUGGAUAAAUAAACGAAUAAAAUUAAAAGAAUAAUUAAUGAUUAAAUAAUUAAAUGAAUAAAUAAAAAUGUUAAAAAAACGCUUAAGUCAGCCUAACUCUCACAAUAUGAAGAUUCAACGAAAUUCCUUCACCAAAAUCCAACUCAAAAGAAAGCAACUUAAAAAGAAACGAAGAUGAACGAAGAACAAAAUAAGAACAAACCACAGAAAAUAAGAACGCAAGAAAGAGAAAAUUUUGAGUAAAUGCUCUUAAGAAUUAUUAUUGCUCCAAACUCAAGUGUUUUUACAAUGAAAGGAGAGGCCUCUAUUUAUAGUUGAACCUCCCCAAAUUCAACGGUACAGAUCAAUUACAUCAACAGCUAAGAUUAAAGGGUAUCCACAAAUUAUAUUCUAAGAUUACAAAAUUAUAUCUUCUAAGAUUGCAUAUCAUAUCUAAGAUUGCAUAUCCUUGAAGAUUAUGUUUCCAUAUGCGUCAAGCUUGUAAAUGGACCUUCAACCUUUUCAAGUAAUAGAUCAUUUCGAUCGGGCCAAAUCAUAUAAUUUUGGACUGGACUUGGACUUUUUUUUAUUAUUUUGGGGGUUUUUUUUUGUGAGCCCUGGCUAAAUUGGCCUAUUACAAGCAUGUUACAUAUUUCUUAACUUCAAUCAUAGGUGGAAUUAAAAUGAUAAAUAAUUCGAAGAGUAUAUGGAAGAAUGAGAUUUUAAUAAUCCUAAUGAUGCAUAUUCAAAUUCAAAUGAUGAUGAACUUGGUCAAAGACCAACAAAUGAUGAUGAUAAGAAACAUAUGUUAACUAUUAAAAAGGGAAUAACCAAUAAAUAUGCACUAGAAUAAUUAGAUAAAAUUGCAUAUGGUAUUUAUUUUUCUUAUUAUUUUUAAUAGUAAUCGUAUUAUGAACUACUUUUUUAGACUAACAUGAUUUGAUUUUAAUUUUUGUUAUUUGUUUAGAAAUUAUUUUUAUCAUACCGAUUUUUUAUAGUAAUUAAUCUUUUUUUUAAAUAUGAAUUAUGUAACUCUUUAAUUACAAUUUGUACUAUUAAACAUGACAUUGGGAAUUACAACGUAAUUUCACUCUGUCAGUCAAAUAUGUCUUGGCUCUUGGGAAUUUCUAUUCUUUGUAAUUACAAGAGAGUGUAAUUACUAUCAUUCAAUUACUUUGUCUUGUCCAAACGGAUCCUUAAGAAUUUAGAAAUUUUUUUGACACAAUACCUAUAACUACUUAUAGGCCUUCCUCAACCCAUAAAUAAGAGGAUAAUGCGCUUCAAUAUAAUCAAACUCACGUCCUCUUGAAUUGGCCAAGGUAAAACUCAAUUAACAAAAAUUUAAAAUUUCUUAUAAUUACAAGAAAAUGUAAUUACUACAUUUUCAUCUAAUUACCGUAAAGGGAAGCAAGAGAAACCAUAAAACCUUUUUCUUGUUUUAAGUACACUUUUUUUUAAGGGAAAGUGAGGAAAGAUGAGAAUAUGUUACCUUCCCAAUACCCAAUUUAUUUCAUACAACAGUUUGGAGUAAACCGAAAAGAAAGUCAAAUUUUUAUAUUUUGAUACAAUUUAAAAUUUAGUUUAUAGAAUUUAACUUUUCUUAUAUUUACGAUUUUAAAAUAUUAUUUAUUAAUUUUGUUAGUAUUUUUCAUUAAAAUUUAUUAAUUUGACAUAUUCAUAUGAGUCGGCAAAAAAAUAAACAUACAAAAUUGAAAAAUUUUGAAAAGAAAAACUAGCAGUUUUAAUGAUUUGUAAGACUUUUAUAUUGAAAAUGUAAGGGAUUUAAUUUUAUAUUUUUUUAAAUAUAAAAUUAAAUCUCAAAUUUUAUCAAAGUAGAAGGACUAAAAGCAUAAUUUCUAGCGGUUCAUAAAAACAAGAAAAAUUACAAUGAGAAAGAAAUUAUAAUCAACAAGUUUCCCAAUGUUAGAUGAAGGUAGGAAGGAAAUACAGAACCAAAAUCCCAACUCCCUAUUGUCACUUUCUGAACUAUUUUAACCACUCAACUAUCCAAUCGAGUCAUAUUCAAACUGCUGAUUCAUUCUUUAAUCCUUUUUGUCUUUUGAAAAACCAGCUACAUAUGUUGUCUGAAACCCAACAUAAGAAGUAAAAAACCAGCUUCAACAUCCAAAUUUCCAUAUGGAAUCAUGGGUUCAACCUUGAAACCAAUGUCUCUUCUUCCUCAAACACUAACCCUUUUAGCCUUUUCACAUAUAGUAAUAAUCCUAUCAAAUGCGGAAACCACUUCCGAUUAUAGUACCUUUAUAUUCAAAAACUGCACCACCAACACAUUUACAGAUUCAACCAAGUUCCAUUCCGAAACCCUUUCGACCUUUUUCGAAGAACUUGUAUCCAAAUCUUCCCAAGAGAAGUUCUACAAAACUACCACGGGAGAUGAUAACAAUGGCAUUUCAGGCUUCUUUCAAUGCAGGGGUGAUCUAAACAACAAUGACUGCUACAAAUGCAUAACAUCUCUUCCUGAAAUGUUGAACACUUUGUGUAAUAAAGCUGUUUCGGCUCGGAUUCAGCUCCAUGGCUGCAAUGUUCACUAUGAAGCUGAUGAGUUCAUUGAGGAAAGGUCUAAAUUCGAGUUGCUUCACAAGGUUUGCGAAGAGAAAAAGGCGGUGGUUGUGGAGUUCGAAGAGGUGAGGGAUGCAGCAUUUGCAGGUGUGGAAAGUGGGGUGAUAGAUGGAGAUGGAUAUUGUAAAGAAAAUUAUGGACUGAUGCAGGUCAUUGCACAGUGUGAAGGGGAUUUGGGGCCUUGUGAUUGUGGUGAAUGUGUGACUGCUGCACUUCAGAUUGCUGAAGAAGAGUGUGGUACCUCACUUUCAGGACAAGUUUAUUUGGACAGUUGCUUUAUUAGCUAUGGUUACUACCCAGAUGGAAUACCAGACAAGUUCAAUCAUGGUAAUGAUGAUGUGAAAUUGAGAAAAUUUUCUAUUAUUUGAUUUUUAUUUGAGUAAUUAUGGAUUUGUGUGACAGAAAGAAAAGGUGGGAAUAAUAACAAUGGGAAAUUGGUAGCAAUUGUAUUGGGAGGGGCAGCAGCUUUAUUCAUUGGCUACAUAUUAUUCUUGUCUCUCAAGAACUUGGGGAAGAAAGAGGAUGGUAUGUAUAGUUUUUUAAAAAACAUUGCAAGAUUAAUCUCAAGUUUGCCUGAAUUGUUUUGUAAUAAUUUAAUUGAAUAUUAUAUUAACACUUGAAUUGAUUUGUUUGUAGAUUUUUGAAGAAACAUGUGCCUUAAAUUUGAUCUGUGAAGAUGGUGAGAGCAUUGUUGUUUUAGGUAGGAAAGAAGGAUCAAAUUUUCUUCAGCUGGUUGUUAAAUUUGGUGAAAGAAAAGUGGAAAUUGCAAAAAAGGCAAUUUAUCAUGAUUUCUCCUUAUUAUUUCAUAACCUUUGAAAUUUAUUAUAUAUAAAAUUUUAGUAAUAUAGUCGACUCUCUUUAUAAUAGCCACUCAUUAUAACAAUCAAGUUUCUAGUAAAAUUGAUUUUUUAUGUUUUAUUUUAACCUUAUAUAAUAACUUUUCACUUAUAACAACAAUAUCCAUAGUUAUGAAGUACAUUCUUUAUUAAGAGUAUUUGCUCAUAGAGGUGAAAGCAUAGGUCAAGUCCUUGAAAAAUGUCUUCGAGGUUGGAGGAUUGAGAGGGUCUUCACUAUUACAGUUGAUAAUGCAUCCGCCAAUAGUGUUGCCAUUGAAUAUUUGAGAAAAAAAAUUGAAUAAUCGAAAUGCUUCUAUUGCAAAUGAGAAAUUUAUGCAUAUGAGAUGUGUUGCACAUAUUCUUAAUCUCAUUGUGCAAUAUGGUAUUAAUGAUGCUUCUGUGUCUGUGGAUCGAGUUAGAGAUGUUGUGAGGUAUAUAAGAGCAUCACUAUCAAGGUUGACAAAAUUCAACUAACGGGCAAAAGAAGAAAAGAUAGAUACUAAGGCUUAACUGUGUUUAGAUGUACCUAUGUAAAAACUUUUGAGAGAAAAAUGACUUUCUUCCUCUAUAUUAAUAGGCCAGAAAGAGCCAUAUAUAUAUAUACAUGAUAAGCAUGAAAAAUAAAUCACCCAAUAAAUCUAUGUAAAUCUCUAACUUCUCUCCUAAACAUAUUAUUUACAUAACUAAAUAUAGUAUUUACAUAUUUAACAGAUAUUUGCAUAUCUUAAUAUAUUCAUUGAUUUCUUUCCUAAUACCCCUCAAGUUGGUGCGUGAAGAUUACGAACCCUCAACUUGCAUAGAAGAUACCCAAAUUGUUGUGUCUCCAACACCUUAGUGAAGAUAUUAGCUAGUUGUUUAAAGCUGUGAACAUAAGCGGUUUGAACAUGUGCAUGUUGAAUCUCAUCACGAAUAAAAUGGCAAUCAAUUUCAAUGUGCUUUGUUUGCUCAUGAAACACGGGAUUUGCACUAAUAUGUAAGGCUGCUUGACUAUCACAAUACAACAACAUAUUAUCAGGUUGAACAAUACCAAGAGGCAAUAAGAGACCCUUUAACCAUUUCAAUUCACACACAAUUGUAGCCCUGGAACGAUACUUUGCUUCAGCAGAAGAUCUCGAUACUGUAUGUUGCUUUUUAGUCUUCUAGGAAAUAAAAGAGGUGCCGAGCAUAACAAAAUAUCCAGUGAGGGUUUGUUACGUUAAAGAAAACUUCUUCAAUUAGAGUCACAAUAACUGUAUAAUCAUAGAUCACAAUCAGCUCGUAGAAGUAUUCCUUGUCUAAGACUUCUUUUCAAAUAACAAACCACGAGUAAAGCUGCUUCCCAAUGAGCUUCCUUUGGUUGAUGCAUAAAUUGUGCCAAGAUAUGGACAUUGUAGCACAACUCAGGUUGAGUGAGAGUCAUGUAAAUCAAUCUUUCCACCAAUCUUCGAUACUUCUCCAAAUCUACCAACAACACACUCUCUGCAAUGCUAAAUGAUGAUUUUGUUUGAUGGGAAAACCAGAUGGUUUAACACCUAAUAAGCCAGCUUCACUAAUAAUGUCCAAAGCAUAUUUGCAUUGGCAAAGAAAAAUCCAUUCGUGAUUCCGUACCACCUCUACACCCAACAAAUAUUUCAAUGUCCCCAAAUCUUUCAUGUGAAAAUAGUGGCAUAAAUAAUCUUUAAACUUUUGAAUGGCAAUACUAUUAUUUCCCGCAAUAACAAGAUCAUCAACAUACACUAGUAUACUCAAUUGUAUCUUGUCCUGAUUUAAAGUAAACAAUGAAUAGUCAUACUGAGAUUAAAGAAACCAAUACCACUUUAACGCAAUUGUCAACUUUGCAAACCAACACCGAGGGUCUUGUCGUAAACCAUAAAGUGAUUUACGUAAUCUAUAAACUUUGGUAGCCUGUUGAGUGACGAAACCAGGAGGCAUCUUCAUGUACACCUAUUCUUCUAAAUAUCUAUGCAAGAAUGCAUUAUGAACAUCCAUUUGAUGAAGUUUCCAUGUCUUUGUUGCUGCCACAGAAAGAAAAGUACAAACAAACACCAUUUGAAUCUGAUUAUUGUCAAGUAUCACCAAUCGAGCUUUAUAGCAUUCAACCGACCCAUCUGAAUUUUAUUUGAUUUUGUAAACCUAUUUACUCCCUAUAGCUCAUUUUUUCAGUGGUAAAAUUUUCAAAGUCCAUGUCCCAUUAGCCUCAAGAGCCUCAAUUUCUUUCAUCAUAGCAUCCUUCCAUCGAAUAUCUUUUAUGGCUUGACAUACGAGGUAGGCUCCCUUUCACUAUCAUAGCUGCUAAGAAAGAAUGAUGUUUUGGAGAAAAUUUAUCACAAUUUACAUAAUGUGCUAUAGGAUAAAAGAUACCUGAGGACAUGAUUGGUUUGGAUGAAUGUGCAAAGGGGCUUAUUCGUUGUAUAGUAUAUGUCACAAAAUCUCAUAGUCGAGUAGAAACUUCUUUUGUUCUAUGACUGCGCCCAAGUUGUUCUUGAACAAAUUCACCCGAGACUUUACUAAAACCCCCUAUCAUCAUUAUCACAUUGAGUCACAAUUGAAUUCUCAAGCACCUCACUUUCUUCAUCCUCAUUCAAGUCACCAUCAACAUGAUUGGUGAUACCGAAAGGAACACUCUGUAAUAAAUCUGGCCUUGCACCCUCCUUACUAACACUAAAAAAUGAAAAUUCAUAUUUAGAUAACACAACAUCUCUUGAUACAAAAAAUUUCCUGUAUCAAGAUCAUAAACUCUCCACCCUUUUUUUCUAAAGGGAUAUCCUACAAACACACAAUGUUGACUUCUACUAGCAAAUUUGUCUUUUUCCUCAUUCAAAUUCCAAGCAUAAUAAAGACAUCCAAAAGUUCAAAUAUGAUUAUAACUAGAAGGUUUACCAAAUAAGAUCUAAUAAGGAGUCUUUCCUCUUAAUAGUUUAGAAAGUGUCCAAUUGAUCAAAUAUCCAGCUAUCAAAACACAUUCUCCCUAAAACUUGAUGGGAAGAUUGCCCUGAAGUCUUAAAGCUCUAGCCAUAUUUAAUAUAUGGCAAUGCUUCUUUUCAACACGACCAUUCUGUUGAGGUGUUCCUACACAUAAAGUCUGAUAUAAAAUUCCAUUUUCAAAAAAAUAGUAUUUCAAGUACGCAAGUUCAGUCCCAUUAUCAGUUCUAACUACUUUUACAUCAUUAUGAAAUUGUCUUUUAGUCACAGUAAAAAAAGUACUCAUGACAAGGUCCACUUCUCUUUUUUAAGUCAACAAAUAUAUCCAUACACCCUUAGAAAAAUCGUCAACAACGGUAAAAAAUACGAAGCACCACAAGAAACAAUAACACGAUAAGGUCCCCACAAAUCUCAAUGAAUUAAUUCAAAAUUUUCAUUCACUUUAUCGCCGCUAGAAACAAAAACUUACCUUGUAUGCUUAGCUCUCAAACAAAUGUCACAUGGUUUAUUCUUCACCAAACUAUUACUAAGUUUAACCUGAGGAAUAGCUUCAACUAUUUUUGCAGACGGACGCCCCAUUCUCCUAUGCCAUAAUUCAAAGAAUCUAUAUGACUAGCCUUGCAUGCUUGGACUGAUGGUGCUGACUUCAAAUAGUAAAGCCCCUUGCGUUGUUCACCCGCUCUAAUCACCAUCCUUGAGUUACGGUCUUGUAUAACACAAAUUUUAUUUGUAAAUUAGACAUCACAAUUAGAUCCAUUAACCAAUUAUGGCGUAGAUAUCAAAUUGCAAUUUAAAUUUGGAACAUAAAAAACAUUGUCCAAUUUGAUAUGUUUUCCUAAGCAAACGGAUCUGUAACACCCUUAACCCGUAUUCGUCGCCAGAAUAGAGUUACGGAGUAUUACUAUAAAAUCUUAACUUAAAACAUUCAUUUCCAAACAUUAGAUAAAUCAUAGCAUAAGUCAUUUAAACACAUACAUAUCGUCCCUUAUUCAAGCCCUCGAGGCCUUAGAAACACUUUAAAGACGAUUCGAGACUAAAUUGGGAACAUAAGAAAAAUUAAGGAAAAAGUUAGAAAAAUUCACAUUGCAAAGGUCACACAGCCGUGUGACUCACAUGGCUGUGACACAUGCCCAUGUUUCAGGCCAUUAACAUUCGAAAUAGGGACAAACGGCCGUGUCCGUGCCUAUGUAACUCUCUAAGUUGGGUCAUACGGCCAAGCCCACACGCCCGUGUGCCAGGCCGUGUAGCUCUCGAAAUGGCCCCACAAGGCCGUGUACCAGGCCGAGUGCUAGGCCAUGUAACUGCCUGACUUGCAACCCUAUUAAACCUUCAGGGGACACACGGUCGUGUUGCAUAUAUUUCACACACGGCUGAGACAUAAGCCUGUAUCUUAGGCCGUGUAGACAAGAAAUUGGUGAAAAUCAAACCAUUUCUUUCACCCAUUUCCAACAAGUACCUACAAGCCAAAUACACCUAAGAUCAAGGCACCAAAACAUGCCAAAACAUACAUAAUAUAACUAUUUCAAUAUACAAACAAUUCAUUCAACCAAAAUGCCAAUAAGGCACCUCAAACAUAAUUCAUCUAAUCUACUUAAACAUAUACAUAUUUUAGCCAUUCAUCAACCAUUCACAUUUAAUCUAUUUUCAUACCAAACUUAACACAAUGACCACAUACUAAAUCAUAUCCUAACAUACCAAUUUGGUUAUUCAAAACAUACAUUCACUUAGCCAUAUCAACACCAACCAUCAAAGCAUCAAAGUGUCAAAAGCACACCAACCAAAAAUACUAUAUAUACAUGCCACACAUAUCAACUAGAUCAAUAAACACUAGUCCACCUAUACAUGUCAUUAUAACCAUGACUAAAACAUCAAAGUCUACCGAUAUAAUCUCUAGAUAGUGUGAUAGGUCUCUGAUAAGCUUCCAAAUUGAUCGAGCUUUUGAUAAUCUAUAAAACAUAGGAAAGAAAACCAUGUAAGCAUAUAAUGCUUAGUAAGUUCGUAAUUCAUGAACAUAACUUACCAUUUCAAUGCAAAAACCUUAUAAAAUAGACAUGAAUCAAUCAAUCAUAAGCUUGGCACAAGCCUAAGAAUCAUCAACAACCCAAGUUAGUGCUUUAACACAUAAUUCAUCAACAUCAUCAUAUGGUAAGGUAUAAUACAUGAGCAUAGCAUCAUUUAACUCAUACUUUCCAACAAACUUAAGAAAUCACACAAACACAUUCAUGGAAAAACCAUAACCCUUUAACAGUUUUGCAAAUUAGUCACUGGGCUAACUAGAUUAAGUUGCAAUGAUCCCGAAAAUAUAAAAAUCCUUAAAAAGGGACAAAACAAAACUUACAUACAAGGAGAAUGUCUACUUGAAUGUCCAAGCUCCUUCAAUGGAGUUUUUCACCCUUAUUUUUGGUGGAAAAGAUGAACAACCAAGAUGAUGUUUUUGUUGUAAUUAAUUUACUAACAUAUAUUUAUUAAAUUACAUAUAUAACCUUAUUAUUUAACAUUAAAAUCACUUAAUUCAUGUCCAUGAAUGUCCACUAUAUAAUUUAAUGGUCUAAUUACUACUUAAAUCCCUUAACAAUUUAAUUUCAUAGCUAAUAAAAACCUUUAACUAAUGUAACUAUACUUUUGCACCUUUUACGAUUUAAUCCUUUUUACUUAAUUAAGAUACGACACUACUAACAUGUCAUAGAUAUUAAAAAAUAAUAAAAUAAAUAUUUUUACGUCAGAUUUAUGGUCUCGAAACCACUGUUUCGAUUUCACUGAAAAUGGGAUAUUACAAGAUCCCUCCUUCAACACCAUUACCUCCUCACUAUUAGGCAAACCAAUUGGACAUGCUUCAAUUUCUUUCAAAUUUGUUAAACAUUCUAAAGUACUUGUCAUAUGUUGGGAAGCACCUAAAUUAAUGAUCCAACUCAGAGUACUUUUACCAUUCAACUUUUUGUUAGUACCCGAUUCGCAUGAGUUCAACAAAUUGUGAAAGAGUGUCCAUUGUUCAGCUGUCAAGGCCCCAAAAGUUAUAUUUUCUCCUCUUAUUGCCACUGAUGAUGAUGGUUGCCCAAUUACAUAAGUUGUAUUAACCUUUGGCGUAUUACUACAUCCUUGCCAUGUACUCUAUCCCUCCUGUCACGUCCAGUCCCUUUGGAUCGGUCACCCCACCAUUAUGGAUAUCCAAUAAGUUGGAAACAUGUUUCAGAAUCAUGUCUCUUUCUUUUGUAAUGUGAGCAAACAAUUGAUUUGUCUUUUGUUUUUGUUUUAUACUUUCAGCCUAUUAUCUUGGCUUGCACUACAAAACUAACAACUUAUUCAUGUUCCUUCUUCCCCUGUGAAAUUUUUUUUAAUGCGUUCUUCUUGACAUACCAAUGAGUAUGCCUUGUUUAAGUUUGGGAACAGAUUUGUGCUCAAAAUAUUGAUACAAAUAGUUCCAUAUAACGCAUCUUUCAACCCCAUCAAAAAUUGAUGAAGCCUCUUUUCUUCUCGUUUCUUGUCGAGUUCAGCUGCAAUAUUACAAUUGCAUUUCCACAACAACAGAUGGAAAUCUGCUCAUAAUUUACGAGUUCUUCCCAUAGUUGUUUUAAUUUCCCAUAAUAAGUCAUUAUUGGAAAACCUCUCUGUUUGCAGUUGGCAAGUUUUGCCUUGAUCUGCUGAACACGAGGUCCAUUAGCAAUAGAGAAUCGUUCUUUGAUACCAUCCUAUAAAUCCUUUGCAAUCUCCAUAUAAGUUAUAGUAGAUCACAAUGUUGGCUUCAUUGUGUUAAGUAUCCAUGAAACCAACAUAGAAUUUACAAUCCACCAAUCCUCCAAUUCAGAGGAAUCAUCAUCGGGUUGUUCAAUUAUUCCAUUAAUAAAUCUGAAUUUGUUCUUGGCCCUCAACGCAGUUUGUAUCACUCGAACCCAUGCAUCAUAGUUGUCUCAUUUCAAUUGCACUUGAGUAAUUAUACUACUAGGAUUAUCGUUUGAAGUCAACACAUAGGUGGAAGUAAGUUUCUUUCCCUUGUUAUUAAUGACUAUUUUAUUUUUCUUUGGCUCUUGAUACCAUGUAAAAACUUUUGAGAGAAAAAUGACUUCCUUCCUUUGUAUUCACAGGCCAAAAAGAGCCAUAUAUACAUGAUAAGCAUGAAAAAUAAAUCACCCAAUAAAUUUAUGUAAAUCCCUAACUUCUAUCCUAAAUAUGUUAUUUACAUAACUAAAUAUAUUAUUUACAUAUUGAACAGAUAUUUGCAUAUCUUAUUAAAUUCCUCUAUUUCUUUCCUAAUAACUUACAAGAUGGAACUAAACAUAUAUGAUGUUAAAGGUGGUAGAAAAAUAUGAACGUGCAUUUGAAACAUAUGUACGUGAUGAUCAUAACUUUUUUUCUUGACCUCAUUGUCGGAGAUUGAGUUCCUACAUUUGAUGAUUGAGAAAUUGUUCAAAGAGUUAUAAAAGUUUUAGAGCAUUUUUAUCAUCUUACAAUAAAGGUGUCCGGAUAUUUGCAUGUUAUCUCCUAUUUACUUUUUGAAGUAUUAACGAAUGUGCAUUAUCUUUUUGAUAGGUGGCAAGAUUGUGGAGAUUUAUACAUAAUUUCUAUGACUUCCAAAAUGAGGGAUAAGUAUAAUAAGUAUUGGGGUGAAGGAAAUAAGAUCAACAUACUAGUUUGCAGGAAAAUCUAGUUCUUUGACAAAUAUUUUCAAUUCAAUGGAAAUAGAUCGAUAGAAAUGCAAAUAGGCUUGGCAAAGCGAAAAUACCUUAAGAAGAAGAAACAAGUUAGACGAUAAAUUAAAUAUGAGUUGGAUAAGUAUUUGGGUGAGGAGGACGAAGUAGACAAUUCAAGUUCAUUUGAUUUAUUAUUGUGGUGGGAAAUGAACAGUCCUAGAUUCUCUAUUCUUGCAAAAAUGGCUCAAAAUAUUCUUGAUAUUCCUAUCUCAACAGUUGCAUUGGAAAGUGCAUUUAGCUCGGCUGGACGUGUUCUCGAUAGUUUUAGAAGUUCUCUAACUCCUCUCAUGGUCGAAGUUUUGGUUUGCACACAAGAUUGGCUUUGAAAAAUCUAAGGAUCCCAUCAAUCUUGAAAACUAUGUUGAUGAACUUCAAACUGUGGAAGAUGGUAAUAUAUUAAUUUUGAUUCAUAAAAUAAGCUUUUAUAUUAUUUAUAUUAGUAAGUAUUCUCAUAAUUUAGCUAACAAUUUUGUUUUUAAAUUUACUAGACUUAUCUAAAAUACCCGAAGAUCAAGAAGGUAAUAUACUUAGCAUUAGUUUAUAAAGUUAAAUGUUUGUUUAAUUUAUUUUUGCAAACAUUUUUUUAUUAUUUAACUAACUCGUUCAACGCUUUUACUAAAUGUUUCAAGUUUACAGAUAGUGUUUGAAGCAAAAGCAAAAACUUAACCUAUUUUAUAACGUUUUUUGAACUGAUGUGUUAUUGUUACCAGUUUGUUGUGUUAUUGUUGAUGGUUUAUUGGAAUUUUAUUGUGUUGCUUUUAUUUUUUGUUGUGUUGUUUGGACUAGUGUAAUUUUCUACUAUAUUUUGGACUUUUGCUUAUGUUUUCUAUAUAAUCUUAUUGUGUUCUUGUUGUUGUUUACUUGGAUUCAUGUUGUAUUGCUUUUAUUUAUUCACUUGUUGACUUCAAUUUUCCUUUGUAUGGUCAUGUUUAAAAACUUUUAUAGAAGAAUAUUUUCAAAAAAAUAUUACAUAAAAAUAAAUAACACCAAAUUCAUUUUUUAAUUCAAUUCGAACAAAUAUAUUCGAUUCAAAUUUCAUCUCACUCGAAUCGAUUUUGAGAAAAUUUUAAAUCAAGUUAGGAUGAUAAAACAAGAUUUGUCAACUCGAUUAACUUUAAAUUUUUUCAUUUGAUUUGAUUGAACGCUCACCCCUAUUGUCAACAAGAAAGCUAUCAUUGAAAAUCCUUUAACAAAUCGCCAAUAAUAUCUAGUUAGUCUCUGGAAUUUCACACCUCUGUGAUAUUCUUUGAUGGUCUUCAGUUCACAAUUACUGAGAUUUUAUUCGGAUCAACUCGUGUGCCUUCAGUCGAUAUCACAUAACUCAAAAAGCCUUCUCGUAAUUAGAACUAACAUUGUCUGUAAGAUUGUUUUCAAAUUCUAAUCAUGUUAAGUUUCGGGACAUAUGGUUCUAUGUCUAGAGACUUGUAUACUAAAGUACUUUAAAAACAUUUUAAACACCUUAGAACACUUUGGUAUUGUCCCAAGAACAUUUAGAUAAAUUAAAACAUAAUUAAAACAUGUUUUUGAGUAUAUUGCAAGUAUUUUAAAAUAUUUGAUAAAAUUUUUAACUAUAUUUUCACCAAAUGAAUUAGGAAAUAUAAUACAUAUAAAAUUUAGUUUGAAUGUUGUUAUAUCAAAGCUAACAAAAUAUAAGGGAUUAACUUGGAAAAAAUGUUCAAGCCCCAAUUUGGGAACAAUUGUUAAGUUCAAGGACUAAUUUGGACAAAAAAAAGUUCAAACCCCUAGGUAGGAACACUUGUCAAGUUUAGGCCCCAAAUAGUGCAUUAACCUUAUUAUAUAAGUAUGGAAUCAAUUUGUCAUGACAAAGAAUAAUUUAUAAAAAAUUAAAAUUGAAAUUAGAAGUAUGAGUAAAACUCUAGUUAUGGCCUAUUGCCGGGUAUUCUCCUUUAUAAGUAAAAAAAAAGAAAAAAAAUUCAUUUUUCUUUGCUCAAAACAAGUCUUAAAAUGAACCUCAAGUUAUAGCCUAUUGUCGGGUAUCCUACUUUCCAAGAAAUAGCUUAGGUUAAAUUUACUUGGUUAAAUUCAAUUAGUGUUAUGUACUAUGCAUUUUAGAUUUAAUUAAUAUUUUUUAAUUGGAUUAUUCUAAAUUAUUAUAUAUUUUUUUAAUUUUAAAAUUUCAAUCUACAUCACAUAACAGUGGCAGAUCAAGGGGGUAGGGUCACGUUCCUCUCUAAAAUUAAUUUUUUUUAUUUAGACUGUUUAUAAUUUAUAAAAUUUUAAAUUAGUAAUAAUAAAAUUACAUUUUAACUUUAAAAAUAAUAAUAAUUUAAUUUAAUUCUUUAAAAAUUAUAAAAAUAUAAACUGAAAUUAUAAUUUUACUAUCUAAAAAUAUAUAAUUUAAUCCGUCUAAAAAUAAAUUUUCGGAUCUGCCGGUGUGAAUGAAUUGAUAAAAACUCACCUGUAUGUCCACACGUAACAAUUACAAUAGAUGAAACUUAUACUCGAGAUGUCAUCAUCAACCAUGCCAAUCCCUCGUUGUUGGCUUUUAAUUUUAAAAUACGCAAGGGCUUUAAAUGGUCAAUAACCUGAUUCAACCUACACAGACCUGCUUUUAAACAUCCAAAAUAUCUUUGCUCUCGUCUCAAACCCUCCAAAACUCCAACCUUUCUUGCUCUUUCACGAUUGCAACAAAAAAAAAAAAAGCUUCAGCUUUUCAACAAAUUCUCCAAUGUUUCCAAGUUUCCAACAACUAUUUCGUAAAUGCUGUAUAAACUGUUGCUACUUCUUUACUUGUUUUAAAUUCUCUCUUGCUCGUGUGCCAUUGUGGUAGAAUUUGUAGGAUUUUUUAGCUAACAAUUUGUGGUUUUCAUGCUUUAUUAUGGGUGAGUUGUUAAACUUAGAGACUGUGUGGGCAUUGAGAAAUUUGGGAAAUGAAAUUUGGAUGUGGUUAUAAUUUUUAGUUAUGGCAUGAAUAUCUUUGCUAGACAAUCUUGAAAUUAUAUUUCUGUGGGUUAAAUUGUUUAUCACAGUUUCAUACAAAUUACUCUUGAGGUUUCCUACUCAAAUUUCUCUAUUGUGGAUUUUGUUUGUGCUAGAAAAUUUUAGGAUUUUAGAAAUUAAAUAUUGACCAUAUGGCUAAUAUUAGCUGAUAGUGAUGAGUUGGUUGAGAUUUCGUUUCAUAAUUCUAAAAAUAUAAUGCAUAGUGAGAAAUGGAGCAUUUAGUGCAUUCUUGGUUAGUAGUUCAAGUGUAACUUUGUUGAUUGCUUUGUGAUAUUUGGGGAACAUAUAAUUCUUGUGUCUCUUGAGUGUGUUUUAAUUGUGCGAAAAAUUUCAUCAUUGUUGGUUGUGAGUAGAAGAUUAUGGCACCGAAAAGUUGAAAGAUGGUGGCUUUGAGUUCUCAACCAUUUGACAACUCAAAGUUUGUUUUAGACACUAAGGAAUGGUAUGGCCAUUUCCUUCUUAAGAAAAAUCUGGUACCCUAUCGUGGAUUUGUGCAAAAUAGUAUGGAGUUAACUGAGAUUUAAUGCACGCAUUAAGAAUCGCAAUUGGGAAGUGUUUUUGCACAUCCCCAAGCGGCGGUCCUCCAGGUCGUACAGGAAUUUUAUGCUAUUUUACUAGAUUCAGGUGGAAAAUCUGUAUUUGUCGAAGGGAAGCAAGCUCCCUUUGACGCUGCACUAAACUCUUGCCCACCCUAAAACAUGACUGCCACGAUUACAUUCUCAAUUAAGGUUUCGGGAAGGAUUUCUGUUGGGAACCUUGUGGUGCUGCUAGUGUUUAGCUAUGUGUGCAGUGUGAUUUUAGUUUCCAUCCUAAAUGUGUUAAAUCAUCUUCAGCUAAACAUGGAUAUCACAGACAUCUGCUUAUCUGUAUGGAAUCGAUUAAAGAAGACAAUUUUGGAGAAUAUCAUUGUGAUGUUUGUGAGAAUGAAAGGAAUUUAAAGCAUCUUGUGUAUUAUUGUCCAAGUUGGAGGUAUAUGGCUCAUGUUGAAUGUGCACUUGCUGAUGUAAUAAUUCCUUUUCAUCCUUCAAUUUAUUUUUGCUAACAAACAAACACAUGUUCCUGAUGAAAUGGGACUUGAUGCAUUUGAAAUGGGAUUUCAUCCUUCAAAUGCAUCAAGCCACCGUGUUAUGCUUGCCCUUUUGCGUUAAAGUCACUCAUGUUUGCAUAUAAUUGUGAACAUUGUCUCAUCAACCUCCAUCCUACAUGUGCUAGUUCCUUAAGGCGACCCUUGAAAAGUGAGUCCCACGGUCACAUGCAUGACCUUUACUAUUUUGGGACAAAUUUUCAGUUACUCAUUGCCAAGUAUCCACCACCGGCAGCAAGUUUUCUUUGUGCUGAAUGUGGAAAACAUAUUAAAAGAGAACCCUUUUAUUGUUGUCCACAAUGUCGUUUCAAUUUUCAUGUGAAAUGUAUUCCCAUUCCUGAUAUGGUUAAAUCCACAUAUCAUGAUCAUGUUUUAACUCUGAAAGGUUCUUUUGUUGAAGAUGAUUCUAGAGAUCAUCGUUGUGAAUUUUGUGAGGAAGAUAGAAAUCCAAAUGAUCACGCAUAUUAUUGUGAAGAUUGUAACGGUCAAGUGAUCGCUCAUGUAGAAUGCGUAUUUGAACCUUUUAAAUCUAAAGAUAAAAUACUUUUUUGCUGCGGAAAAUCUCUAACAUGAUAUGCUUGUUGUCAGGCAGUGGAGGCACUAUUUUAAAUUCGACCUUUGGGGCGAAAAGAGUCACUUAUUCUUCAUGAAAUGCAGGGAAGAUCUGAAGAUUUUAACCCAGCUAUAAUUGAUAAGUAGUAAGAGCUUUGGUGCUAAUUAAUUUGAAAGGUUGGUGAUUAUUUUUGUUGUGUGGAUUUGGGAAUCUAGAUAUUGCUUUCUAUUUCUAAGUUAAACUUAAAAGUUCAUCCAUGACUCUUUGCUUAUUAACAAUUUCUUGCUAGGGUCCGUGUUUUUGUGAGAUAAUAGUUGUUAUGACACUUGUCAUCCCCGGUUCAUUACCCAAAUGGGUUUGGAUCGGAUUGUAUCGAGCUCAAGCUCGUAGGCUGAGUUCAUGGACCAAGCUCGCUCGCAUAAUAAUGAGUGCUCGCAGGAGGGUGCCUGUAUUCUUCUGUGAAGUCAUAUGUGAGAUCGCACAUGGAACCGCAUAAAUACGUGUUAAGUCUAGAAUAAGAUUCAUGUCUAUAUGUAUAGAACCUCCUAGCAUGUCAUAUCAGUAAAUAGUACCCAUAUAAUAUAAAUAGACAAACAUAUCAUCUAAAGAAAACAGAGAAAAACACUCAACAAUAGUAUAUUAGUAUUGUUAACAGUUUUCAACUAAAAUUAACUAAUAUAACGUAUAUAUUAAAUUCUAAGGAUAAUUCUUGUAGUUAUCGAUUUAUGCAAAUUUAAUCUUUAUAUUUAUUAGUUCAAAUUUGGUCCUACUUUUGAAAUGGUUCACUUUCAGCCAGUUGAGUAAAAAAAUUAAGGAUAAUCAUAAACUUAGCUAGCAAACCUUUAUGACUUUGGAAAAUUUUACCCCUACUAUUUUUUCCUCAUACUCAAAUUCAUUCCCUAUCCCAUCAUUUUGAGAUGGGAUGCCAUGCCCAGGGCUGGCUUUCCUGAUUUGUUCUUCUCCAAACGUUAUCAUCUUUUAAACGAUUAUUUUGUUAAACGAUUUUUUUUAAUGAGUAAUUUUUUGAAUAAAAAUAUUUCAAAUAAGGAAUAAAUUUUUACCUAAUGUUUUUUUUUACCUUAGAGAUAUUGAAAUAGUAAAAAAUAAUAAUAUUUACAUAAUUUUCUUUAUAAAAAUAAUUUUAAAUUAGAUGGUAUAAUCCAAAUUAUAAUAAGUUGAACUCAAUAUUUGCUAAAGGGGGUCAUGGGCUGGUCGAGCCCAAGCCAAACAUUUAGGUUUGUUUACUAGGUUUGAGUUUGGCCCGACUCGAAAAAUGGGCCUAAAAAUUUGUCCAAACUUGGCUUAAAUAAAAUGCUAAAAUUUAGACCUGAUCUGACCCACUAAUAUUAAUUUUUUAUAUUAUGUUAUUUUUUACAUAUUUUUAAAUAUAUAUAAUAUAUCAAAAAUACUAAAAAUAUUAAAAUAAAUAUUUCUGAAUAAAUUGAAAAUAAAUUUUAAAAAAAUAUGUAUUCUUAAAUAAUAUUAAAAUAAAUGCAACUUAACAAGAAAAUGUCUCUAAAAUAAUAACAAAAUUAGUAAUAAAAUAAGUGUUAUACAAUAUCCAAACAAUAACAACAUAAUAGUAACAACAUAAUAGUGAAAUGGUAGUAAAAUAGGGAUGAAAACAAUAAGAAGAUAUCAUUAAAAUAACAAAAAAAUAGCAAAAUUUUUUUGUCAUUUAGUGAAUUCGGGAUGGGCUCAAGGGCCAAAAUGUCUUACUUGAGGCUUGACCCAUUUUUAAAACGGGCUUAUUUUUUUGUACAAGUUCAUUUCUCAAGUUUAUAUUUUUGCCCAAAUCCUUUCACUUUUCGGGCGGACCUUCGAGCCGGAUCGGAUGACGCGACCAUGAGCAAAUCUAAUAUAAACUCAUAAGUGAUAAUUGCAACCUAACACAUUCACCUACAACAUUAGAGACAUGAUCAAAUCAUGUGAAAUUGAAAAAAAGAAAAAAAGAACUAUUGCAAACAAAUUUCAUAUUCCUAAUUAUCAUAAAUUAAGAAAGAAAAUAAGGGAAAACAAAAAUUCUUUUAAGGGAUUUGCGUCUUUUUUUCUCUUACAGAUGAUACGAUUAUUGAUAUUUUUAUAUCAUUAUAGAUAACAAUUUUUUUAUUUUUAAAUUAUUUAAUGAUGUGGCAUAUAAAAUAAAAUAAUAUCACGUUGGAAAUGAAAUAUAAGUGAACAAUCAUGUAAGUUGUCAUAUUAGUAUUUGGUGUAAUUUCUAAUGAUCUCGUUAAAUUGUAACAAAAUUUAUCCAAUUUGACAAAAAAAAAUAAAGGUUGAGAUUAAGACAAAGUCAAGGAUAGGGACCAAUUUGAAAAUAAUUGUAAAAGUUGAGAAUUAAAUUUAUAAUUGUAAUUAUUAUUUACCUAGAAAAUUGAAAAUGAACAAUUGGAAAAAUAAAGGGAUUAGUUUUAAGCUUUAAAACUGAGAGUUUUAAUGAAAGCUUAAGUUUAAAAAUAAGACCGUCUUGAUAAUGGAUUAAAAUGAGGUCAUAUGAUGAAAUUGUGAUCAAAAGUGAAUAAAAUAUCCCACGAUUCACUUUUCCUAUAUUUUAUGUUAGGUGGAAGUGCUAUUGUCAAAUCUAUUAAGAAAGUAGAGUUCUGGACUCAAAGUUAGAUGCAAAAUGUAUAUAAACCAUCAGUUGUAUGUUAUUGAUUUCUUGAUAAAGAGAGAGUAAUAUCAUAGCAUGUGUUUCAUACCACAUGUGCAUUAUACGACCAAUAUGAGUAAUUGAAAAAUUGAUCUUUGCUUUAAAGUUGUAUAAGAUCCAUGAAAUCAAAUAGGAUUUAUAUUUUGUACCCCUACGACCCUUGACUGAUUCUUAAAGUUUUAGUUUAAUGUACACUAUUUUACAAUGUUAUCAAUGAUCAUGAAAUGAUUUGAUCUAACAUGACAUAUCUAUAGAGCAGUUUAAUUGAAAUGAAGAGAUUCAAGAAAAAGGGAAGAUCAAUUUAGUGUUGGAUUCAAUUGUAUUUACCGGUCGACCAAUUGUAUUUUAUAUUGUAGAUACAGUUGUGAAUACAAAAAAAAUUUAUUGAUAUAAAAAGAGGUCAUUAAAAACUUGAAAUGUGACUAAAUGAAUUUAGAGUUCUGCAUACUUACUCAACUUAACCAACAAAUUUUGGGCACAAUGGUAAGGCACAUUGUCAUGCCGCUUUAUUAGUUUAAAAUCGCAUUAUGUCAAUAGGGAAAAAAAUAGCAUUUGGCCAUUGGAAUGAAAAUGGCAAUUUUCCAUUGUUAUUUAAUUUUAAAUGGUUUUCAUAUUAGAAGAUAUUUUGCCGUUAAUGAAAUUAAUGACAGAAAAAUAAUUUUUUUUAGACAAUGGAUAUCUAUAUUAUGAAAAUUUUAAGCUGUAAAAUUGUAGACAAUUUUCAUCAUGUGAUCUUGUCUCUGACUAAUAAAUCAAGACCAGUGUUACAUCAAACGAUUAUGUAAAUUCACUAAAUUUUAAAUCCGUAUUUAUUUUUGAGUAAUAAUUUUCAUAUAUAAUAUCAUAUUCAUGGAUACUUUUGCUAGAUUUAUUUUUGUAUCUCGUAAAUCAUGGAGAAGUUACCAUUGAUGCUAUUACUGGUGUUACCAUAAGUUUUUGUUUACAGAGAAAAUCAAGUAAGUUUUUGUUUUUCAAUGAAAUCUAAAACUGAAUGUAGGAGAACAAAAUGCAGUCUCAUUGUUCUUUAUAUAACAUACUAUCUUUUGAUUAUGAUUUGUAAUUUUAUCCUUACGUAUAACUCCAUUUAAAUAAAGAUUUAUAUUUGUGAUAGAAGGCCGUAUUAGCCUUGCUACUAUGCUUUUACCAACUUGCUUAGAAAUUCAAGAAAUUGCAGCUUUGAUAAUUCAAGAAUAGACUGGAAUUGAAACCUUUUUAGGGGACAGCAAUGGUGGGGCAAGGACAAGACUUCUAUACGUGUUUGCUACUCAUGCUUGACUAACUGAAAGAAAAGGCGAAUAGAUAAGAAGUAAUCCACUUCCACAGGGAGAAGACUCUUAAUGCUAGGCUGUUAUUAGUUUGAACUUUCAACCUGUGGAAUUAAAGUACAUGCAUAUGGUUAUAUUUGCUACUUAAUGGUGCAAGUUUCUAGGCUUCUUUCUUGUCUACACACAGUGGAGAGUCCUCAGCUUCAGCUAUGUCUAAGAAGAACCAAAACAUGGCCAGAAGCCGAAUGCCCUCCAUGUUUGGUAUGUUGUUGUCUUUCUGCACUUUCUUAUUUAUAACACAUAAAAAUAGUUUAGUCGCUGUCUCUGUUGAGGUAGCAUCUUCUUAUGAGCCCACAGAUAUCUCAAUCCUAGAUUGUUCCUCAUCUGAUCUACCAUUCCUUAUAGACAGAGAUGAUAUUGGUUCCCUUCACGUUCCUAGAACUAAUUUCUCUGUCGUCUCGAAAUAUUAUCCCUUGUCACCUGUUUAUCAUCAAAAACCAAAACUUUGCAUCCACAAAAAACCAUUCACAUAUACCUUUCCUGUAUCUUCAGGUCCCAAGUUCAUUCGACUUCAUUUCAAUCCAUUCUCAUUUUCAGGCUUUCAUAUGUCCAAAGCAUUGUUCUCUGUCAGUGUUGCUCACUUCACUCUUCUCAAAACAUCCGUUGCUUCAUAUUCUAAACUUCAGUUACAUGAUAGUUACACUGUGAAGGAAUUUUGUACCAACGUCGAUGAUGGGGUGCUAAAUGUAACGUUCACCCCAUCACCGGAUGUUUCUGAUGCAUUUGCAUUUGUGAACAAGAUUGAGGUUGUCUCGAUGCCUUCAAAUCUUUACAUCCAAGAAGCUGUUUCGCUGCCCUUGAUUGGACAAGCUUCUCCGUAUUAUAUCAAGAAUUCGAAAGCCCUUGAGAUGAUGCACCGAUUGAACAUAGGUGGAGAGUUCAUUCCUGCACUGGAAGAUACUGGCAUGUUUCGCAAAUGGAUACCCGAUGCAAGUUUUUUGACAACUGAUGGAAGUAACUCGGGUAUCGUCAUCUCAGAUGUUCAAAUAAAGCAAAGUUCCAGAAUACCAGCUUAUGUUGGUCCUAUGCAAGUUUAUGCUUCCGCCAGGACCGUCGUUGCUGAUGGAAGUAAUCAAAGUAGAGCUACAUGGUUACUGCCAGUUGAAUCUGGUUUCUAUUACCUUGUUAGACUCCAUUUUUGUGAGAUCUCAAAUAAGGCUAAGGGUGUUGGUUACAGAGUUUUCCAUGUCUAUAUUAAGGAUCAAACUGCUGAAGAUCAGGCAGAUAUAUUUCUCUGGAGCCAUGGAGCAGGUAUUCCGGUUUAUAGAGAUUACAUCGUAAAUUUUUCAGAACAUACCAAAAGGAGAAAAAAUCUGUCACUUUCAAUACAUAAUGGAAAUGGUUCAAUCAGGACAUUCAAGCCAGCGAUCUUAAACGGGUUAGAAAUUUUCAAGUUGUCCGAUUCCAACAACAGUCUUGCCGGAACAUUUUCAUUUGGAAUGGCAAAGUACUCAAAUCCAUGGAGAAAAGAAGGUGCAAGUUAUAAAGCUCUCAAAAUUUGCGCCCAAAUCAUGAGUUGCAUUCUUUUACUAUUUUAUCUACCUACUCUUUGGCAAAUAGUAGCUGCAAUUGAUUGGAAAGGGCAGAGAAAAGCUUUCAUGCAGUCUCAAUCAUCUGACCAUUGCCAGAACUUCACAUUUGAUGAGGUAAAGGUAGCCACCAACAACUUCUCUGAUGCUUUACUUCUUGGAGCUGGAGGUUAUGGGAAAGUUUACAAGGGAUCCAUUAAUGGUGGCACCAAUCUUGUUGCAAUAAAACGAGCCAAUCCAUGUUCUCACCAAGGACUAAAUGAGUUCCAGACAGAAAUUUUUCUGCUAUCACAGCUCCGUCACCGCCACAUAGUCUCUUUGAUCGGAUGCUGCAAGGAAAGAAAAGAAAUGAUACUCGUUUACGAUUAUAUGGCAAACGGCACCUUACGUGAUCAUCUAUACAAGAUGAAGAAGCCUCCACUUUCGUGGACGCGAAGGCUCACAAUCUGUAUUGGUGCAGCUCGAGGAUUGCAUUACCUUCAUACAGGUUUGAAGCAUAGCAUUAUACACCGUGAUGUGAAGAGUACUAAUAUCUUGUUAGAUCAGAAUUGGGUGGCCAAGGUUUCAGAUUUUGGACUAUCAAAAAUUGGCCCCAACAUGCUAACCCAAUCGAACACGCAUGUUACUACAAUGGUGAAGGGAAGCUUUGGGUACUUAGAUCCAGAGUAUUACAAGCGUCAGAAAUUAACUGAGAAAUCAGAUGUGUACUCCUUUGGGGUAGUGUUGUUUGAGGUAUUGUGUGCCAGACCUGCUGUUCUACAACUGACAGAAAACAUGGAGGAAGAGCAGGAGAAGGUAAAUUUGGCUGAGUGGGUCAUGCAUUGUUACCAAUCAGGGAGGGUUGAUCAAAUCAUUGACCCGUAUCUACAAGGAAAAAUAGAUCCAACAAGUCUGAGAACAUUCACAGACAUAGCAAGGAAAUGUUUGGGUGAGAAGGGCGGUGAAAGGCCAACGAUGGGUGAGGUGUUGUGGAAUUUGGAGCAGGCAUGGCUGCAGCAGCAGGAGAGUGAUUGUUUCCAAAAUGAUGGCAACUACGGUGUAGCUGACAAGACAACAGCUAAUGGAUUAUCUGUAAUCGUAGACGCUGAUGGAGUACCUCUGCAUGGUGCUUCAGAUCCCACCCCAGGAGUAGAGUUCUCCGAGAUCGUAGCCCCGAUCGGGCGCUGAAGAAUCCCAAGUUUUCGGCAGUAAGGACUGAUUUGUCUUCAAUUACAAGGGUUUUUAGAUUCAGUGGAACUUCAAUUACAAGUGAUAAUUCAACAGAGAAGGCUAUUGAAUGCAUUGAUCCUUAAUAUUUAAAUAAUUAAAAUUUAAAAAUAUUAUGAAAGAAUAAAUAAUAUUAUUAAAAAUUUUAUGAAAGAAUAAAUAAUAUUAUUUAAAAGUUUAUGAAUGGAUAAAUAAUAUUUUAUCCUUAAAAUUAUAACAAUCAAAAUAUAUCCUUAAUCUUUUAAAAUUUUACAAAAUUAUAAAUCAUAUUUGAUUCUUAAAUUUAAACAGUUAAAAUAUUUAAAAUUUAUUUAUUUUUGCUCUUCUCGCAAGUGAAAUUAGUUGUUUAUUUAAAUCCAUAUGUAUCCAGAAUUUCCCAUUUGUAUUAUUCACAAUUUAACAUUCUUUUAAUCAUUAGUUAAUAAGUAAGCAGCUUCCUUGGAUCAAUAAUAUAUAAUUUUUAAUUGCCUUAAUAAUAAAUUUGACCACUAACGUUGGUAUGUUUUGUCAAAAUGGCCUUAAUUAUAUUUUUGUGUCUUUUUUUAUCAUUAACCUUUAUUGUUAUUUUUCAAUAUGCACUUUCUAACAGAUUUAAUAAAUAAAUUUCAAUUUUUCUUUUCUUUCAAAAGCUUUCAAUCUUUCAUAGUUUGUUUACUGAAAAAUUGUUCUACUGAGUUAUUUUUUUAGAUAAUUAUGUUUAUUUUCUUUAAAUUAAGAGUUGUUUUUAAUUUAAUGUAUUAUUUAUUUAUUUUAUUAUUUUCUACAUGUAAUUAUCUUAUUGGGUUAUCUUAGUAAUAAAUUACAUCUCAUUAAAAAUAUUUCAUAUUUUUUUAACGACUUUUAUUAAAUCUAUUAGAAAAAACAGAUUGAAAAAAAGAACAAAGGUUGGUAGUCAAGAAAUGCUUAAAAAUACAAUUAAUGCCAUUUGACAAAACAUGCAAGUGUUAAUAGCCAAAUUUGUUAUUAAAACUUUUUAAUUUUAUGAAAGAAUAAAUAAUAUUUUUAAAUUUUUAUGAAAAAUAAUAAUUAUCCUUAAAUUUAUAACAGUCAAAAUAUCUAAAAAUAUUAUUUAUCCUUAAUAUUUAAACAAUUAAAAUUUUAUGAAAGGAUAAAUAUUAUCCUUAAAUUUAUAAGAGUCAAAAUAUUUAAAAUAUUAUUUAUCCUUAAUAUUUAAGCAAUUAAAAUUUUAUGAAAGAAUAAAUAAUAUUUUUUAAAAUUUUAUGAAAGGAUAAAUAAUAUUUUUAAAAUUUUUAUGAAAGGAUAAAUAAUAUUUGAUUUUUAAAUUUAAACAGUUAAAAUAUUUAAAAUAUUAUUUAUCCUUAAAAUUUAUUUUUUUCUCAUACUUAUAUAAAUCUAUCUGUAUCCAGAAUUUACAUUUCAUCAUUCUUUUAUUCAUUAGCUAGUAAGUAAGUAUUUUAGCUUUAUUGGAUAAAAAUAUAUUUUUUUUAUUUUUUGAAAGAAUAAAUAAUAUUUUAUUCUUAAAAUUAAAAUAGUUAAAAUAUUGUUUAUUUAUUUAUUUAUUUUUGGCUCUUUCUAUAUUAUUCACAAUUCAUCUCUUCAGUUAAACAUGAUUAGCAAGUACAGAGCAGUUGCAAAAUAUUGAAGUUGGGAAGCACUUGAAGUAGUUAGCUUAACCGGUUAUGAUUCUGUUGCAAUUAGUAUUCUAUUACAAUUAGUUACAGUUUCUUGAGCCUCUGUUGCUUCUGUUAUCUCAGUGUAUAAAUGCAGACCUGAUGUAUCGGGCAAAUUAUGAAUGAAUUCUAUAUUUUCUCUCAUUUUCUAAUAAUCAUUUUAGCUUCGUUGAUUCUCCUUUGAGUGUUUCAGGUUGAUUUAGCAAAACUUGAAAGCCAAUCACCGUCAAAUGUCGAUUCCCUGAAGGAGAAGAAACAGCAACUGGGUUGUUUAUUAUCAUCCUUAUCACUUUCUCGAGAAAAUCUUCAAAAGCAAAAAGUUCUUGAAAUAUCGAUGGAGUCUUCCAGAAAUGCCAUUGAGGCAUCAUCCCCUGCUACCUCUCCUCCGGAAAAAGAAACGACUCCUGCUACCUUUCCUCCGGAAAAAGAAACGACUCCUGCUACCUUUCCUCCGGAAAAAGAAACGACUCCUGUUACCUUUCCUCCGGAAAAGGUAACGACUUCUUCUACCUCUCCUCUGGAAAAAGUAACGACUCCUGCUACUGCUACCUCUCCUCCGGAAAAAGUAACGACUCUUGCUACUGCCACCUCUCCUCCGGCAAAAGAAACGACUCCUUCUACUUCUCCUUCGGAAAAAGUAACGACUUCUGAAAAAGUAAACAAUUUGGCUUGUAUAUUUUCCUUUUUUAUUUUCCCCAAACAUGUGUACCUAAAAGUAUAGAAAUGAAUAAACACAUAAUUGGUAAAACCUUUGUUUUUAUUGUAGAAAUCUCCGGUUUCCGAAUUUCUCAAUGCUCUCUCUCCUAUAAUGCCAUCCAGAGCGAGAGCAUCACUGUGUAAUCAAAGGCUUUCUGAGUUCAGUUUUCCAUCGAUUUCUUCAUUGGUUAACUCACCACCUCUAAAUGUACACCAACGACCAAUAUGCUUAAGCUUCGUUGAAAGGUGUUUUUUUUUCACUUAUAAUAGUUUUGGAAGUCAACUAAUCACUUUGCUCAUAACUAAAGAUUGUUUUGUCUAUGCUGAUAGAGAUAAAAUUGGUGGGUCAAGUUCAAAUGGUCACAACCAAGACGAUUCUAUGAUAAAAAAUGGUGAAUACUGGGCUCAACAUGACGAAACACGUGGUGCUUGUUUCAAUGCUUCAGAAGUGACGACUGAAAAAACUAAGGAUAACGCAAAUGAUGGCGUGGUUGAGAUUUCCGGUGAUGAAAGGUGGCGUAGGAUGUUGGAUUUUUCAUCUAAAAACAUCUCGGAACAUGUUGAAUCUGAUGAAUUUUUGGAACAUGUGAGUCAAGGUUUCGAUUCUCAGCCCACUUUCCUUGGUGGAAAUCAGGGCAUGUCGAUUCCGCUCCCAUCUUAUAUUCUACCAUUAAACCAUCAUCCUUUCAUUUCACCAGCUGGGGGAGUCGUACCAUUAAACCAUCAUCCUUUGAUUUCACCAGCUGGGAGAGUCAGUGAUCAUGUUGAUAGUGAUCACCAUGGAGGUCGUGUACCAGAAAAAAUGGAGGAUUCUCAGGAAGUGUCAUUUCUUCACCUGCUUAGAAGUAAACAAUUUGCUGACAUGGUUGACCAACAAUCCAAAUCCCAAGUUAGCUCAAAAGGAGAGAGGCAAGUUUACAUAAUAUUUUUUACUUGAAUGAUUUUCACAUUGCUUUUUAGCUGCGGGAUUUGUUGAAUUCAGGAAUAGAGAAACAUUCCCAGUGAAGAUUCAAGCCUGGAAACACUGCAACUGCAUAAGAUCCAGAUGUUUGAAACUGUAAGUUCACAUGCUAGAUAGAACAUUUCACUUGAGUACUAUGUUACUCGGACUCAGUUUAAGCAUAUACCCAAGAUCGGUAUGUUUAGUUUUCUUCAUGUAUUUAGAAGAAGUUUGGAACAUCAUACCCCCAACGUCCAGACGGUGCUGAAAAAAAGAAAAGAGUUUGGAGUACAUCUGUUGAGUUUUGUUGUUUGUUGUGAUUGGCAGUUAUUGUGAGUGCUUUGCAGCAGAGAUUUACUGCGAGAAUUGUGCAUGCCAGAACUGUUCCAACAAUACAGAUUAUGACGAUACUGUUCUUGAUACUCGACAGCAAAUUGAAUUGCGUAACCCUCUUGCAUUUGCUUCACCUAUUGUUUUCCCAUCCAAUGAUUCUCCUAAUGUUACUGUAAUUAUAACUUCUAUAAUCUUACACCUUUUUCCCUUUAAAUUUGUGUAAUCCCGUAAGUGUUUGACAUGAGAAACUAUGCGCCAGGGUCAUGGAAACUUGAUGAACGCUGGAUCACCCAGGCACAGAAGGGGAUGCAAAUGCAAGAGGACAAAAUGCCUAAAAAAGUACUGCGAUUGCUAUCGAGUAUGUUUUAACUUUGUAGCUCCAUCAUGUGUAAUAUACACCUUGGCAUAGAUAUGUUAUAUGACUCUCUAAGUAUAUGAAAAAGAACUCUUUAAAAUAUUGAACAAGUCGGUGUUAGACAUAAACCGACAACGCUCGAAUUUGUGUUUAAUAAAUGGUUGUAAUUACCUCUAAUUAAUCCGACUGCACAAAUAUUCUUCAUUUAUUUUUAGGCUGAAGUCGGAUGCUCUGCCAUAUGCCAAUGUGACGAUUGUGACAAUUCUUUUGGCAAGAAGCUAGGUAAUUUCUAAACUUGAAAAUGAUUGAACAUAUCUAUAAUGGACACAUUUCUGGAUCCUAGGGUUGAAACUAGAAAUUUUUUGAGAUUGAGAUUAAGUCACACAUUUUUGUUUGAGCUAAAAUGUAAUUUCAUAAUUAUAUUAGUUUAUAUCUUCAUACAUUUUAGAAUGAUUAAAUCAAGAUUUCAUUAUUUUGAGGGGCAAACUAUAAUUUGACCAUGCAUUAACUUAUAAUUUUAUAGAUUUUGGGAUCUAAAGAAUAAUUAUCCCAUUUUUGUGGGUGGGGGGAGCAGUGCCCCUGCCUCCCCUCCCUUGUCUCGUACUGAAUCCGAUGCUCACACCCGAUCAUUAGUGACAUGGACCAUUAAGUACUUAUUUUUCCUGAUUUGAAUGAUGAAUGCUUAAACCCUUGCUGUGAUGCUUACAUACAAGUAUUAUAUACCCAAUUAUUAGUGACUAACUAACUUCACCAGGGAGAUACAAAAUCAAUGUUCCGCUCUCAUGAGAUGUUGAAUACAACGCAAGUUAUGUCUGACAGCACCUUGGUCGGGACUGCAAAUCUGUUUUCAUCAGUGUGGGAAAAACUAGCUGAUAAGAACCAUCUCACCGUAUCAGCACAUCCUCAUUCAAGAGCACAUGAUAUGAGGGACUGUCAAAAUGUCUCACAGGCAAUCAGAAAAGGGAACUAGCCUUCAUUCUCCUCUGCCUUGAGUCGUAAGCAACCAUGGCGGAGUAAGGAGAGUGAUAUAUGUUAGAUCAUGGUAGAUAGUUUUCUUGACUACUUCAUGGAAACUUCCAACCCCAUCAAAACAGUGAAAUCUGGCUCGGGUUUGGGCUCUAUAAUGAUGAAUGACUUUGGUUUAAUUUUGUCUGUUGUGCCUAAUAAAAUUGUUGAAUGCAUAUCCCUCCAAUUAUGUUAUCUCCAUAUUUUUCCUUUACAUGAACAGAGGCUCCGAUGCAUAUGACCUUUGUGUUCGUGUGUAUUUUGUUGCAAAUGCCAUCCGUUUUCUUUUAAAUAUUUUGCGUUUAUCUCUUACUUUUACACUUUAAUUUUGACAUAGACUCAUUUUUCUAAAGGGACAUUUCGUACGGUUUAAUUUCAUUUAUUAUAAUAGAGGGAUUUAAGCUCAUUACAUAGGAAUGUUGAGAUAGCAAUUUUCUUAGCUGUAUUCAUGCUUACCUUUCUCCUACAUUGUGCGCUAAAUAUAUAGUGAGUGCUCUCAUAGGAUAAAGCAUUUCAUAUCUCUAUAUUUUGGGGCUCUUUGCUUAUUUAAUAAUUUAAAAAUCCAAUUUGCCUAAGCCCUGAUUGAAUUUCUAAAUUGGACUAUUUUUGAGGGUUUAGAUGGCUUAAUUGAGUCAUUACUUUUGCAUUUUAGCAUUGCAUGAAUUUUGCUGAAAGAACGCUGUAGCAGGAAGGUAGUCUGGUCACAUUUGAAAGGUUCACAUUGUCCCAAUUUUUGUAUCUACAUAUAUUCUGAUUAUAUUAGAACUUAAAUAUUAUCAUAGUUAGUGACUUCUGCUUCUAAUGUUCAUUGGUGACAAAUUUAAAACAGCAAAGGCAAUUGCCUUAGAGAGAUGUGCACAUGUUGGAGCUUAAUCUCAUUGAAGGAAAAGUUUUGAGUUUGCUAUCUGAUUCGCAAAGAGGAAAACUUGUUUAGAAAAUAUUUGUAUGCUUUGCUUCUCCAUUCAUUUUCUUAACUUUUUUGCAGUUUAAAAACAAUAAAAGAGUAUUUAAAUUAAUCAUGUUGUUAUACACCGUGAUGUGAGAGUACUAAUAUCCUGUUAGCUCAGAAUUGGGUGGCCAAGGUUUCAGAUUUUGGACUAUCCAAUGUUGUUGCAAUAAAACGAGCCAAUCCAUGUUCUCACCAAGGACUAAAUGGGUUCCAGACAGAAAUUUUUCUGCUAUCACAGCUCCGACACCGCCACAUGGUUUCUUUGAUUGGAUGCUGCAAGGAAAGAAAAGAAAUGAUACUCGUUUACGAUUAUAUGGCAAACGGCACCUUGCAUGAUCAUCUAUACAAGAUGAAGAAGCCUUCAUUUUCAUGGACGCGAAGGCUCACAAUCUGUAUUGGUGCAGCUCGAGGGUUGCAUUACCUUCAUACAGGUUCGAAGCAUAGCAUUAUACACCAUGAUGUGAAGAGUACUACUAUCCUGUCAGAAGUUAACUGAGAAAUCAGAUGUGUACUCCUUUGGGGUAGUAUUGUUUGAGGUAUUGUGUGCCAGACCUGCUGUUCUGCAACUGACAUGCAUUGCAUUGUUACCAAUCAGGGAGGGUUGAUCAAAUCAUUGACCCGUAUCUACAAGGAAAAAUAGAUCCAACAAGUCUGAGAACAUUCACAGACAUAGCAAGGAAAUGUUUGGGUGAGAAGGGCGGUGAAAGGCCAACGAUGGGUGAGGUGUUGUGGAAUUUGGAGCAGGCAUGGCUGCAGCAGCAGGAGAGUGAUUGUUUCCAAAAUGAUGGCAACUACGGUGAAGCUGACAAGACAACAGCUAAUGGAUUAUCUGUAAUCGUAGACGUUGAUGGAGUACCUCUGCAUGGUGCUAAGUUUGCGGCAGUAAGGUCUGAUUUGGCUUCCUAGUCCUAGGACUUGAUUAGUAAACUAAUGGCUUUUAGAUUCAGUGGAACUUCAAUUACAAUGAUAAUUCAACUGCCUAUAUAUUCAUCCAAUUCUUUUGACAACAAUACUAAAAUUCAACUCCUAAUUCUUAGUUCAAUCUAAGCAAACAUAGUUGGCAAUUUCUAAGCCAUAAUCUCACAAUUUCCCCACACACACCAAAAAAAAAAAAAAAAAAACCCUAAGACCUGUGUUCCUAAUCCAAACCUCCAACAUAGCAUGAACAGAGUCAAAGCUAUUUAUAUAGCAAAAGAACAAAAAUGAUCAAUUCAAUCAUAUUUCCAAAUUGCACAAGACAUAUCAUAUUUCCAAUUCCCAAAAUGAAGAGAAAAAAAAAAGGAAACAAUUCAUAAAACCUUCAACUCAUAGACUCUUUGUUAUUAAUCAGAAACAACAAAAGUGUAAUCACAAUUUGAAAUUGAAAUUGAAAUUGAAAUUGAAGUAGAAAAAGAUAGAAGAUUACUGGGUUUUGGAAGCUUCAAGCCAUGGCAUCCAUUGCAAGGGGAGGUCUGUUCUUUCGCGGGGGGGGGGGGGGGCGCAGAUCUUGUAUUCAUUGCACCACGUUUUAAUUGUUCAAAUACAAAUAUAUAAUUAAUCAUUUUCAUAUAAUUGUUUUAGAAAAUCCAGAUUCCCAGAAUUUUCAUCUCCACAAGUUAAACAGAACUCUUUGGCAAGCGGUACCUUUAAUUUGACCAAAUUCCAAAAUAAACUAAUCGACAAAUCUUAUCUUAAGUGGAUUUGCAUCUAUUAACAAAAAAAAAAAACCACUAAUUUAUGUCCUCAGCCUCUCAUAAUAACACACGCCAACAAACCAAAAUGAUAAAUUAUGCUUAAAACCCCUUCAAUUUAUUUUUCUUUGAAAUAAAACAUAAUGAAAUUUGAUUCCCUUGUUAUAAAGCUCACAAUCAUAAUUCACAAUAAUAGUUUUUUGUGUAACAUUCAGAAAGAAAUAUAUUUCUAUGUAGUUAAAAUUGUAAGGGGAAUGAAAUUCCAUUGUUAUUUGACUUGUCAAUAGAAUCGUAGGGUGUCAUUUGUAAAAUGUGAAAAAGUAAGGGACGAAAAAGAUGUUUUCCCCCCCAAAAAAAAACAGGAAGUACUUUUUUUUUCCUACUUGCAAUAAAAUUCGUGACCAUGUUGAAACCGAGAAGAAAACAAAACCAGAGCCACCACGUGUGUUAAUCAAAAAAGAAUAUUUCAUUCCUAUGCUGCUCUUCCCUUUCCUUGUUUUGGUAAUUCGAUUUUUUUGGGUCUCCAAGACAUCUGCCCUUUCUAUCCAAUCAUCGACUUCCCACUGAUUCAUUCACCCUUGAUUUCACACCGUUUCCAAGUAAGAUUCGUUAAUAUUUCUUCUUCUUCUUCUUCUUCUUCUUCUUCUUCUUCUUCUUCUUUUCAUUUUCUUAAAUCUGCUUUUAUAUGUUGACCUCAACUAAGAUUAACCUUCAAUACCCAAUUCUUAAAAGUGCUCCUUGUCUGAAUUUUGAUUUUUCUUAGCUUGUUAUAAAAUGGGCUGUUUCUGUUUUUGCUUAGUAACCAGGUUUAUUUGCUGAUUUUUGUUGGUUUAUUUUGUGUUAUUGACUGUUUGCUUCAUGGAUUGAUUUUCAGGUUUUUGUCUAUAAAUUUAUUGAUUGAAACUGGAAUAGGUACACUUUUUGUAUGUGUGUGCAUGUAGUUUACUUUCUUGUUAACUUUGGAGACAGCUAAUGAUUAUGCUGGAGAGUGGUGACUAAUCUGAUAUUCCUGCUUUUUUUGGCUGUAAAUAAAUUGUCUUUUUUAUUAUGGCGAUUUUCUUCCCUUUUUAGAUAUAUCAACUUGUUGGUCAACAUGUUGGGAGCUUUUGGUGAAAAAUCACUCAAGUUGUUCUUGUUGAUUCUUUGCUUAUACGAAAAAAGUAAAAUGAGUGUAUUUCUUGCCCCCUUAUGGUUUCCUUUUGUGGCUUUGACUUAUUGGUACUGAAUUGUAGGCCAGUUGCAAAUACUAUAAAAAUUCAUCUUUAUAAGGAAAAUCGAUGUUAUGGUUUUGGUUUAGGUUGGUGUUGGGAUCCUAGUUUUUUUUUAUCUCUUUCCAACACAUUCAACAUCACUGUUCAUAUGUGUAGGAUUCAUCCAUGAAUAGAGACGGUCAUACUUGUCAAUAGUGACUAGAAUUGUAUUGAAAAAUGGACGGGAACCAAACCCAAGUGAAGUGAAAUUACCGUGAUGCUCGCAAUGUGCUUUUUCCCGGUAAUUUUCUAUGUACUAGAAGUUGUUUUGUAAUCAUCAUGUCAGCUUUAUAUGUAUUGUUUCUAGAGAUAUUUUAUUCAUUUAUUUGUUUGGCUGUCUAUGUUAUCAAAGCGAAAACUUGUCUGCAGUAAACUAAGAGUAUAGCAAUGAUUUGUUUGAUGAAUAAAUGUGUAAAAUAUGUUAGAGACGCUGAAGCAAAGAUUGUUGAGUUUCUCGAUAUCUGGCAUUAACAGGCAUCUUGCUUUGCUUAUUCAGGUUGUUGAUAUUUAGAUAUAAAACAGCUGAGAAUCAGGAACUUAGGUCUUGCUGCUAUGCCUUCAUCUUUUCUGGCUCUUACUUCUUUUAAAGACAAGUAUUCUACUUCGCCGAGUUCUUUUCAGGUUUCCUCAGGAAGGGAAGUGAUGGAGAAUUCUGCAUCGCUUCAAGAAUCUUCCUUAGCUCCCAGCAAUGGUACCCUUGGGAAUUCGUCUUUGUCCCCUUCCAUAGUCACCGACCAUAUGUGUGCCUCAGCUCUACCACAUGUUCAACAUUCUCACAAUCCCGCAUUCAUUUCCCAGUCAUCAAGGGAUUUAGCAUCUUUGCCACCACUAGAUGCUUCUUUUUCACAGUCCACAGCUUCACUUAUUCACACACAAGGAAAUAAGGAUGUUUCUUGGAGUUUAGACCGGCUUCAAAUGUUUCUCGAUUUGCCUGAAAAUACUCCAGCUCCAAAUCAACUGGUGGAAAGCAGCACCGGUGUCUUGGCAUCUGAGGAUCACAACAAGAAAACUAAUUGGCAGGAAUGGGCGGAUGAUUUGAUCAAUGUUGUGGAUCCAGACUGGAGUAAGAUUCUUGAUAAUACCAAUGUCUUAAACCCCAGAGUGGAGGUAUGUUCCUAGAUUCUAUUAGAAGCAGUAGGUGCAGAAAUGUCUCGAGCGGCUUUUGAUAUUCAUUCUUUAAUUUCUUUCACAUAGCUUCACUAGCUUUGUGAUUCUUGAGGUGAUACAAUUUUGCCACUGCUGCUAUAAUGUCAACUAAUGGAUUUUUUUUUUUUUUUACUAUUUCGGAAUUAGCUAUCAAGGCCAAGACUUGUUCAUGGCUGAAAACCCCAUUACCUUAGCCUUUGGCUUACGUAGAUGAUAUGAUCUAUCUACCUUAUCGAUGUACUUUUUCUAGUUUUGCCUAUCUUUUGGUUAAUGAGAAAACUAAAAAAUGUAUCAGGUGCCAAAACCUUCUGGAGAUAUCUCAAAGCAACAGCCUCAGUUUCAUCAGAAUCAACUUGUGCCACAUGGAGAAUUUUCUAGCCAUGCUUACCCAUCAUCCACUGCUCCUCCUACAAAGCCUCGUAUGCGUUGGACACCUGAGCUUCAUGAGGCCUUUUUGGAAGCUGUUAAUCAGCUGGGUGGCAGCGAACGUGUGUAUUUUCAUCUCAUUAGCAUGUAGGCAAAUUAUCUGUUUACAUCAUUUGCUAAUUUCAUCAAGUAAUUUAAACUUACAGGAGCUACUCCGAAAGGCAUCUUAAAACUUAUGAAUGUUGAAGGCCUAACAAUCUAUCAUGUUAAAAGUCAUCUGCAGGUCUGUAUGUAAUCUCGUUUUAUGGAUCCUUUUUACUUUCUCAAACAAUCUUAUAAGUUUACUGGAACAUUUUCCUGUUCGGAAUCCAGAAAUAUAGAACGGCCAGAUACAUGCCAGAAACAUCAGAAGGUAAGACAGCUAUAAUACUUUCAACAACAUUUCACUGUACUUUCAUAUUAUCAUUUUGAUUUUUCUUGUUUGUUAAGAUGUAUAAUUUGCUUCUCAUUGCAGGAACAUCAGAGAAAAGAAUCACUUCAAUCGAGGAAAUGAAAUCGAUAGACUUGAAGACGUAAGUAACCUUCUCUUUCCUUGUAUCUUGAAGUAAAGUUUAUCUACCAUUUUUAAAUUCUAUUGAAGUCUCAAUUAUCUCUGUCUUGAGCUUCGAUCUAUGAUCUGCAAAUUUAUCAGAAUGUGUAGUUUUAGCAUAGUGAGAUUUGGCACUAACCUCACUUUCCUGUAAGAAAGUUUGAGUAUAUCUGUAUGGUUCUGGCCUUUUUAUUUCUCGUCACAGGAGUAUAGGAAUUACUGAAGCACUGCGAUUGCAGGUGGAAGUUCAGAAGCAGCUCCAUGAACAACUUGAGGUAUGCUACUGGUAACUAAGCAUUUAUUUGUUUCUGUCACAAACUAUGCAGGUUAACUCAAAGCACGGCUAUGGCUUCUUACUUAUAUUAUAAUAACUUCUUUUCCAAGAUUUCACCAUGUUAGGGUCUCGGAGCUUUUUAUAAUUAGCUACUUUAACAUUGUUAUGUGGAAUUCUAAUUUUCCCAGCAUACCCCAUUUCUAAUUUUCCAAACAAAGUCAUGUUGAACCCUUUUUUAUUGAGUUGCUGCAGAUCGUUUGCACCCCAUGCAUCGUUAAAAGCAUGGAUGUAUGUGCUAUAUAGAUGCACAUAUAUUUUCUAAUGCCGGUGACAUUUUUUCUCCAGAUUCAGAGAAAUUUGCAGCUACGAAUCGAAGAACAAGGGAGGUAUCUGCAAAUGAUGUUUGAGAAACAAAAAAAGGUGGAGGAUGAAAAAGGUGGGGUUCCCUCUUCUGCCUCGGAUGACCUUCUUGCACCAUUACCAGGCUCAAAGCAUCCACCUUGCAACAACGGUAAAUCAGAUUCAGAAGCUUUAGAGCAAGAUCACUCAAGAACCGGGAUUGGUCCAGGAAAUGCUGGCACUAACGAGGACAAAAGCUCCUCAGGUGUAAGCACGAAGCUGAAGAUGCUGGAAACAGAAUCGACUGUCCAUGAUGAGUCCGGUUUCUCAGUCUCAAAACGUGCAAGAACAGAGAAAUAGCAGGAUUCUUAGACUUUUUAACAUCUGAUAAAUAAUCUUUUGUAGACAACAUAUCUCUGCUCCUGGAGAUGAUGUUGUUAAUACAGAUAAAUAUGCUGAUAGAAACCAGUUGUUGAAACAUUACAUCAUACAUCCAUCUUUAUGUGUAUUUCUCUAACAUUUGACCACAUGCAAUAUAUUCUUUCAUUUUGAAAGAAUUGUAAGCUAUAUGUCAUGAUCAUAAAAAGGUCUUGGGUGGAAGCAGAUGAAUGACAUUUGGUAAUAAAAUCUUACGAGCAAUUUGCCCUUCACAACUGGUUUCUUUUCAUAUGAACAAAAAUGUAAUUGCAGAAAAUGCUGAGCACCAAACUGUUUUUAUCUUCGACUUUUUUUUUUAAAUAACAAGGAAACCCAAAAAAGAAAAAGAAUUAAAAGGUCAUCACAGUGAAACCUAAAUGCAAAAUUAAAAUUAUGACGAAGAAAUGCCCAAAUUAAUCUAAUAAUUAAAGGGUUAAUGUUAUCAAACGUCCCUAAACUAUCACCAGAUUUUAAAUUUGUCCUUAAACUUCAAAAUAUUUUUAAUUGACCUGGUAUUUAACACCCAAGUUAAUGGAUAUGCCGAGAGAAUGAUCUAAAUUAAUUUGAUAUUGAUAACUUGAGUAUGAAAUUAGAACAUUUUAAAGUUUGGGACUAUUAAAAUCCAGGUCAUAGUUGAGGAUGUAUUAUGUAAUUAACUCAUACUAAAAUGUAAAAUUGUUGUCAUCCUAACGUGCUGAACCAAAGACCCUUGAAAAUCGAAAACUCUGUCAUCUGAAGACAACUGAAACAAAAACAAAAAGAAAAAGAAACUAAAUUAAUUUUCUAGAAACCAAAUUGGAAGAAAAAAAAAAAGAAACCUGGUCGAACCCGAAAUCAAGAUAGCCGAAGCUGGAAAGUUUCAGGAGAAGAGAAAGAAGCGGCGGAACAAGAAGAAGAUGUUGUUUCAAGUGGGAGGACAAGGGGCUCGUCCCACCUUCUUUGAAAUGGCUGCUGCUCAGCAACUCCCGGCUAGUCUCCGUGGAGCUCUCACUUACUCAAUUGGGGUCACCCUCUAUCUGUCUCUCUUUGCCUUUUUUAUUAUUAAAAAAGCACUUUUUAUGUAUUUAUGGAAUACCCAUUUUAGUUUUCCUUAUUUAUUUCUCAAAAUUGUUCAGUUUUUCUAUAAAUUUUGCCUAGAGGGUCAAAUCUUGGUUUUUGUGUAUAUUCUUGUCUCUGAAACUUUUAGAAUGAAAUAAAUUGAUUGUUUAAAUUAAGUACCUGGGAAACAAGUUUCAGUUUGUUUCAAAUUAGCUUCUUUUCUUUUUGUUUAGUGGCAUUUUUAGAUUUAUUACAAUUUCUAUUUUCAGAUUGUUGCAUUAAUUACAUUUUUUUUUGGCUGCAAUUAUUGUUAUUAUAAUCGAAUAUUAAAUACUUUGAGGUUUAUUUGUGAAUUUAUAGGUAUUAGCAUUGAGAAGGCCGUUCCUUCAUAAGGUCUUAGACUAUGAAGAUGAAUUCUUUGCUUUGCUGAUGUUGGUUCUUGAGACUCAUAGUCUUCGAAAUACAGGUUUCCUUCUGCUUUCAUUUUCUUUUAGUUUCUUUAUUACUUAAAUUUCCUUUUUAGGUAUUUUUUGCUCAGCAUGUAUUUGAAUCUUCCUAUUUUCGCAUUCUAGACAGUGCUUUAUGUAUCCUAGUUUUAGAUUUCUUCCGAAUUACAUCUUUUUUUUUUAAACUUUAAUGCUCAUUCUGAUUUCACUACCAUGCUUUCAUUGUACAUAUAGAAUAAUAAUCAGUUUUCCAUUUUGUGUCUCUGUGAACUGUAGAUUUGUUUUUGUUGCUUCUGUGUGAUAUAUGUUGUAAUCUAUGAUAGAAACAGUCUUCAAAAAUGUCUGAUGUGUUAUAUAUGACUGUUCUUCCAUUCACCCAUUGAAAUUUAUUCCCUUUUGAAGAUGUGAGUGUUAAGGUUGUAGGGUGUAGGAGAAAUAAGCGGAGUCUGAGCCAUGUAUAGGAUCUUGUGAUAAUGUAUUUCAUUCUGGGUGUUCUAAUGUGAUAUGGAAAGCUUCUUAAAUUUCAAGGCAUGACUGAACUCCAUGAUCUCACUUGUUCAAAAUGAGUUAUGUAAGAUCAUCUCACAUAGAACGAGCUUUCCUUGUUACUUUUUUAAACAUCAAUGAACCUUAGCCAGAAGCCUAGAAUCGACCAGCUUGUUUGUGGAAGGAAGUUGUAGUACACGGGCUUUUCCUUUUUUGAGAAAACUUAAUUAUUUAAUGCAUAAGCAAAACUAUCACUAUCAGCCCUUAAUGGAAUUCAACAUCUUGUUAACUAGUUUGUUAUAUUGGAACCUUAUAACAAUGCCCAUUAUAUGAUGUUUGCACUGUUGGUGUAAAUAUUACCUUAAUUUUGUUUGUUGUUGUUGGAAGAUGCAUGUUUGUUUCAAUUGAUGAGAUUCAUUUUUCUAAUAUACCGUUCUUAUACAGAUGCUUCUUUUUCUGAGUCUCUAUAUGGUUUGCGGAGGAGAGCAGCAAAAAUAAGAACAAAACAGGCUGAUAUCCGAUCAAAGUCUAAUGAUGGGAUCCAACACUCUAGUCUAGAAAAGCGCCAGAGAGUUCUUUCAGUUGUAUUUUUGGUAGAAUUCUACAUAUUUUUUCUCCUUUUUUUUUCUUAUUAAGAUGUUUUAUAAACCUUAUAAUCAAGUAAUCUACUGAAGUUCUUCCGUAUGAGCGAUUAUAUUUUGUCGUAGAAAAUUACUUUGUGUACUUACAGCGUGAACUCUUUUAAAUGCUGUAUGACCAACAACCUUUACUAGAGCAGUAGUAACCUCUGAUUUGCUAUGUGUUUCUAGGUUGUUUUGCCCUACCUUAAGUCAAAAUUGCAUUCAAUUUAUAACAAAGAAAGGGAAGCCAGGCUUCAAGCUAGUUUAUGGGGUCCUGGUGAUGAGAGAUUUGAAGAUGUUGACUUUGAUGAAGCUGAGGCUUCUAUUGCUUCAAGAACAUCCACAGAAACUGAAGCAACAAUAAGAACACGAUUGGCAAAGAAUAUUCAGAAAAUUAUAGGUGUAUGUUAUCCAUGGCUUCAUGCUACCACUGAAGGUGUGUUCAGAUCUAAGUUAUCAUUUUGUACCCCUGUUUUCAAGAAAGAAAGUAAUUUAUUAAUCCAAUCAUUGUUCAUGGACUGCCGUGACCUAAAGUGGUGUCCAGUUAAUAGUUAAAUUGUGGUUGCUGAGCAUGGGGCUUUCUAAUAUUUAUAUUUGUAAUGAUUUACAACAUAUCUAGUAUAAAUCUCCAUGAUGUAGGUUUUCUGAUAUUUAUAUUUGUAAUAAUUUCUUGAAAGAGCUUUGAGGGUCCAUUAGCUGUUUUUGACCGUGCAUUGGUUGGAUCUCAAGUUACAUGCUUUAAUCUAAUCUGGAUUAUUGUGGUGCAGGACUAACAUUUACUUAUCAACUUUUAUAUCUUCUGGAUGCUACUGGGUUCUAUUCUGUUGGAUUACAUGCACUUGGGAUUCAUGUUUGUCGAGCAACGGGGCAAGAAUUGGUAUUAGAUUCAACAAUAACUUCUGUUCUCUGUCUGCAUGUAUUACAUGAAUAUCCAUGGAGCAGUAUUUGUGUUGCUUAAUGCUUUUUCCAAGCCCUAUAGACAUUCAUAGAGAUACAUGCUUGGUUACAGAAGACCUAAGUGUUGAUGAUAAUUUUAUUUAUUGUGCAUUUUGUUCUUAUUUAUAUUAUAUUUAUGCACACAUACUCAGUAUACUCAUUUUGAUGUCAAGGUAGAUGGAUACGUCUUCUAGAAUAUCCAAAAUUCGAAAUCGUGAGCGUGAGAGGCUUCCAGGUCCUCCAUGGUUAAAGGUAUUUUUCUAUAAAUAUUUUAGUUAGGACUAUUGAGAUUGUUUUCAAAGAUAUUCCAUCUAACUUUAACUAAUGUUAUGUUAAAUUUAGCAUAUUGAUUAGACAAUAUAAUUCCUUCAGGCAGUACAAGGAGCUUUGCUUAAAUGCACAUAUGCGGUGUUGGACUAUGCACAGACCGGUUUAAUUGCUGCAGUAUUUAUCUUUAAAGUAAGUGUGGUUUACUGGUUAUUAAAUUUACCAUCUUUUGUGGUUUAGCCGUUUAGGGGUAAUAUAUAUCAUUGCUAUCUAAUAACUUUAUCUGAAAAACAUAAUUUAUGCAAAAUAUAUGAUAUUACAUUUUCCAAAGCAAAAAUCUGAAAUAGUUGGACCAAAGGAAACUAAACCAAUCAAUUGCUUAUUUGUUCUAGUCCAAACCCGUGAGCUCUACAAUUAAGUUAUUGCCAUGAUGACUUGUAAUAUUCCUUGAUAGAUGCUUUUUUAAACUCGUAUGAGUUUUUUCUUUAACCUUCAUUCACUUUCCUUAAACCCAUGCAAUCACUGAGAUUUGUUAUUGAUAUUAUUUAAAUCUGACAAUUCGUAAAAGUGUCAUCCUUUCCGGAGAUAAUAUUUGUGUGUUAACUAUUCUAUGCCACUUUUUGUUCUUUGAACCUUUAUUUUUAUGUAACAUUCAUGCUUUUCUGGAAAUAGUAAUGGAAUUUGCUAUGAUUUCAUUUUCACUAUGGAUAACCAUUGUUCGUGUACAAUAAUCAUAGAUGAUGGAAUGGUGGUAUCAAUCUGCCGAGGAGAGAAUGUCAGCUCCAACUGUGUAUCCUCCACCGCCGCCACCACCACCCCCAAAGGUGAAAAAUUCACCUCUCUAUCUUCUCACACAUGGCCAUGCAGACAAAUGCAAACAAAACCAUUCCUCAGUCUUUUGUGGACCAUUUUCUUUUAGUAAAAUGGAGAAUUAUGUAGGAGCAUGUUUCUACAUAUGUUUCAUUGUAUGCAUUGUUGGAUAUUAAACCUGGGAUAUGUCACCUAGGAUAUGAUGGCAUUUGUUUCUUUCAUUGUAUUUUUCUUAAACUAUGCAACUAUUUGAGGAUUUUGGCAGCAGUUUCUAUUUAUCAAAUGUCAGUCUGAACAUAGAAGGAAUAAGGAGGAGCAAGCUUUUAUCACUCUGGUACUCAAAAACCAAAUAACUCACUUAUCAUCUAUGCAGGUCACCAAGGAUGGGAUCCCCUUGCCACCCGAUAGAACAAUCUGUCCAUUGUGCUCACAGAAGCGUGCAAAUCCAUCAGUAGUUACAGUUUCAGGGUUUGUCUUCUGUUAUGCUUGUAUACACAAGUAUGUUUCUCAGGUAAGGCCUUCAAACACUAUUUGGUGAACCAAAUAAAUUCUUUCACAGUUCGCAUAUGAUGAUAUAGGGGAACUUGCCAAAAUGGCUUCAUUGAUUCAUACUUUUUAUGAAUUCUUUUUGAGCGGCUCCCUUUUGUAGUCUAGUAAUAUUGAAUAUAUCUUCUUAAAUCACCUUCAAUACAUGGCUUUUCUAAGCAAAUGAAUAUAUGUUUUGUCUUGUUGAUUGAGAAGCAAUUUCUCUCUUAUCCAACUUCAAGAUGACCCACUUCUUCAAACCAAAGUGUCCCAGCACAGCUAUGAAAAGAUCUAAAGAUUUGUUUCAUGCAUUUACGGAUUUAAUUGUUUUUACUAGUUUACAGUGAAAUGUACCUUGUAUGCAUAAAUUUAGAUCAUCCAUGUGGAUCUUCAUCGUUAUUUCUAUUUAACUUCGUGUAGAUUUGUUUUACAUGGAAGAACUUAUAUGGUUUGUUCUGUAUUUCUUUGCCACAGUAUAAGCGCUGCCCUGUCACAUUAAUGCCAGCAGACAUUGACCAGAUAAGGCGACUCUUUCACGACAUGUGACAUCCUUGCUGGAUACUGUGGAUGUAAAUUAAUUCAUUUUUAUACAUUUUCAACAGCCAAAUCAUCGAUAAAAGUAAAGCUGCCAAUGCGCAAUGAGGGCCAAGACGAACACAAGAAGAUAAUGUAGGGAAUUCCUGUUGCCAUUAUUUCUGGCGUUCUCAAAAGUUACUUUAUAUGUAAACGCUUAGAUAACUUUGAAACUACAAAUAUCCUACUAUGGUCAGUCACCAUAGAAACACUAUUGUACACCCCAAAAAAAUCCAUUUACAGUAAAUCUAUAAUUUCGUCAUUAACGUGUACCACAUCGAACAUUUUUUAAAAAAAUUCAAGUAUCACGUUUGACCUUGUGAGCUGCUCUAUUUAGCUCCCCUGUUUCUCAGCCAUGUUCUUGCCUGGGUACGUGCCGAAGGGUGCAAUGCCAAACUUUGACCGGGAUUGAUUAGAUGAUUUUCGGGAUCCAUUCCAUGUUUGAGAGGUUUAAAAUAGCUCAAAUCUUUGAGCUUGGUGUCAAAGCAGAUUGUUAUUUUCGUGCAAAAAUAUGUAGCCAUAACAGGACAGACUUAUCAUCCAAAUAAGGAAUCAUUUAGAGAAUCUAGUCCCGAAGGAUCUUCAGUUAUUGACUAAUUCUAAUUCUCGCACAAAGCCAAAUCAACUAAAAAAUCAAACAACAAAAACUAAAAAGAGCAUAUAAACAGAAGCAUUCAUGGGAAUGCACUAUGCAGCAGAAAAAUUAUCUCCCAGGAUCUCUCAUAGUGAUGAGACCUACUAUACUCCUGCAAUCCCUGUAUCCAGAGCUCUCUCCAACCUUGCUCCAAAUGGUAUGGCCUUCAACUUCAGUCUCUCUUCCUGCGAAAAUAAUCAUCACUUCCAACAUAUAUAUAUGCAAAAUGUAUAUAUGAACACCAACGACAGUCACUUUGUAUACCUGAAUGUGUCUCGGUGUUCGUUUGCUAGGAGAGCUUGAAUCAGUAUCUAUGUUCUGGCCAGUAUGACUCCAAUAGCUCCCAACAGUCCCUAUGAUAGGCGCUUCAUCUGGACUCCAGCUCCCGCACUUUCUUGGAGAACUGGAUGCAGAACGCUGUUUAAGCUCUCCCAUUGUUAUUGCUCCUAAAAUAGGCCUAUCUUCAUGGCUUCUUGGUGAAUUCAUCUUCUGGGAUAUUGCUGAAUUCCCCACUGAAUUAGUACUAGCCUUUGAAUUCGGUGUGUUUUCAGGUUCCACUAACCAGCUUGAAAGACUUGUAUCAACAGCACUUUCUUUCCCUACCAUCUUCCCAUUGGAACAUAGUUUUGAACUUGCAAGCUUAAAACUAGGCUCUGCACUAAUCGGUAUACCAAAACCUUGCUCUACAUUGAUGUUCUCCUUUUCUUGAAGAUUCAAUGGUAUGCUUGCUUUUGCUUUCACUUCUUUCCAUUGAGCAAGAUUUUCUACAGGAUUCAAAACUGAUUGAACAUACUGACCACCCUUAUCUUUACCAUUUCGAUUUAACACAAUUGGCAUUGGACUACUAACUUCCUUCUCAUCUGAUUCAACUUCACAAACCUGUUUCCUAGACUCUAUUGACAAAGAAAACAGUGACUCAGAUGACUCUUCUAUUACCAAUUGUGACUCAUUUUUAGCCUUUUCAAUGCCAUCAUCCUCAUUACCAUCAUCUAAAUCAUUUAUUUCUAAAUCCAAAUCAUUCAAUUCAUCCUCACUUUCUGCACUGUUCUGAUAUCUAUUGUUUUGAGGCUUAAAAACUACAGUCUCCUCACUCUCCUUCCCCUCAUCAUUUUUCAACAACUUCUCAGAUGAUUCAACAGCCAAUUCCUCAUGAGUCUUCACAUACAAAUCAAAACUUAACUUCUCUUCACCACUGUUAUUCAAUAGCUCCCCUAGCUUCUCUCUACAUAAAUUGACAUGAAACAAGCAAAUCAACACGUGCAUAAACAUAAAUAAUAAUUUAAAAAAAAGGGCCUGAAACUGGAUUGCCAUAACUUACUUUUUCACUAUAAUGGGAUUAAAGGGUAUCCCAAAAUCUUCUUUACUUGAUUGAACAGCUUCAUUGGCUUCAGGUUUCUGGAUGGUACAAAUUUAUUAAAAAAAAAACCCAAGAAUCAUAAACCAUGAAGGUGAAGAACAAAACAAACCUGAUCAAUAGAGGAAGUCCCAUCCACCACAUGCUGGUCUUUUUCAUUCUUGGAAGCAGAAAAACAAGCAAAAAGAAGGCAACCCAUUAUCACCCUAAUUGACUUCUCCAAAAAGGUUCACUUUAAAAAGUUCCCUGGUCAAGAAAAUAGUCUUCUUGGAGAGUGAAAGAGAAGAGAAAAUCAAUGGGAAAAUAAAAUAAAAAUAAAAGCCAAAGAAACUGGUCAAUGAAUUUGAAGAAGAUCUUGAAAAAUAUGACCGUUACAAGGUAGAUUCGUAUAGGCUUCAUUUAAAAUCAAGUAUCCUAUAAUAAGGCAGAGUUUUGGCACUGAGAUUAAUGCAACUGUUGGGCUUUAAAAGAGGAAAUGGGCUUUCGCUUUUUCACAAUUUUGUAUAUUGUUUUGUGCAUUAAAGAGUUCUUAUAGGAUUUGUGGGGCAAACACAGUAGUAAUGGAACUGUCUCUAUCUACCUAUCAAACUCUAAAUUACUUCUUCUAUUACUGUUACCAUUAUUGUUAGAGCUUCCAUGGUUGAGGUGGUGUUGGGUCAAGUAAAAUAUUUAGAUUUACGACUUGAAAAUAGACUUAAAAUUUUGUCAAAAUUCAACUCGAAUAAAAAUGUUAAAAUUCGAGCUCGACCCGCUUGUACUAAAAUUUUUUAUAUAUAAAAAUGAAUUUUAAAAAAAUAAUGAAUCAAACACACUAAAAACAUUAAAAUAAAUAUUUCCCAACAAAUAAAAAUAAACAUAUAUAUACUUAAAUAACACUAAGAUAAGUGCAAUUUAACAAGAAAAUACCUUAAAAUAGUAACAAAAUUAAUAAUAAAAUAAGAGUUAUACAAUAUUCAAAUAAUAACAACAAAAUAGUAGCAAUAUAAUAGUGGAAUGAUAGUAAAAUAAUAAAAAAAUAGUAAAAAAAAAGAGUAAAAAACAGCAACAGUAUUUUUUUUCUGCAAAUUCAGGUUGGGCCGGGCUCGAGAAAAAAAACUUACCCAAGGCUCAUUCCGUUUAGAAAAUGAGUUUUAUUUUUUGUUCAAGUCUAUUUUUUGAACCUAUAUUUUUUAUUCAAACCCUCUCACUUUUUGAAUGGACAUUCAGGUAGGGGCAAUGGGCAAGUCUAAUUUUGUAGUAACCUUUAUUUACAAAAUUUCUUUUUCAACUUGUUAUUUUAUAUAUUUAUUCAUUAGUUACUUUUAUUUUUAGUUAAAAUAUGUUAUUAGUUCUUAUACUUUGAUCAAUUUUGAAAUUUAAUCUUUUCAUUUUAAAAUUUUAAAAAAAUUUAAAUUCUUCUAGUUUUUCAAUUUAAAAAUUCAAGUUCAAUCAUUAUCAUUGUUAGUAGUUUUUGUCAAAAUUUGUCAACUUAAUAUGUUUAUUUUUUUAUCAAUUAUAUGCCACAUCAUAUACAGAUGACGUAACCAAAAUUUUAAAUUGACAAAUUUUCACAAAAAAAAAAUACUUACUAUUUUAAUGAUUAGAUUGAAAUUUCCAAAUAAAAAGUUAAAAAUACACAUUUCAAUUUGACAAAUUCAAGAAAUCAAUCUAAAUUUUCAUUUUUUUAAGAAUUAUGUUUCGGAAGAAGUUACAAUCACCAAUACCAAUCAUAAACAAUAGUUAUAGUAAAUUAUUGAACGAAACUCACUAAUAAAGUUAGAACAUUUAAAUAAAACUGGUUGCUACUUAAACCUCAAACUUCAAAUUUUCUAAAAUCUCUUUCUUAUUAUGAAGCCAAAAUAUUAUUAGCAAUUUUUUUAAAAUUAUUUUUUAAAAAUAUAUCCUAACCCUUUUAAAUAUUCUAAAACCUCCCAAUAUUGAUAAUGAGAAACAUGAGUAGUUAAAAUUAUAAAAUUUCUCAUUUUUCUAAGAUAUUAAAAUAAAAUAAAUUUUGAUUAUUUUAUUUUUAUAUUAAAUUUGAGUUUUCAGGUUGGAAUUUUUCUUUUGAGUUAAGAUUUUCCAAUUUCUUUUUUUCCUUUGAGCUCUUUCUAGAUUUAAGUCAAUUCUGGUAAAAACAAGCUCGGCCUCGAAAUUUGCGACCUCUGCAUAUAGUGAUUGAAGUGGUCGUUGAAAAUCAAAAUUAAUUAUGAAAAGAAUAUUAAAUUUAUAUAUUCAUACGUAUUUAAAUAAAUAAAAAUUCAUGCAUACCAAAAUUAGAAACUCUUGUUUUUGGUGACAAAAAAAAGUAUUUUUCAGUAACGAAUUAAAAAAAUAUCUCUUUUUUACUGAUAAGAUUACAUUAAGUUUUGAAAUUUUAUUUAUUUUUUAAUUUUAAAAAAUAAGCCUUUAGAGUCCUUGCUAAUAAAGUUGAAGUGCUAAUCAAGGACCUUAAGAGUGACCUUAAUCAUGCAUUUUUGCACAAGUAUUAGUGCCUAGGGAAGAGAUAUUGAUACUUUUUCAACCAUAAUCUAAAUGAGCUAUUUGCCAUUAAAGUAUCUGUACUUAUGGUCUAUUUUCAUCGGUGUCUAAAAAUUCAGUUUUAAUAUCAAUUUUCUUAAAUUAAGUUAGCUGGAAAUUUUAAUCGAGUAGUACGAGACAUAUACAAAAUUAUAAGAUCGAAUUACUAAGUGUUUAAAUAUUACUAAAGGAAAAGGUUAGUCAUUAUUGAAUAAGGAUUAAAUUGCAAGUAGUUAUAACUUGAAGAAUUAGGUCACUUUUUAACAAAGCCCUUAGUAAUGAUUAAAUGUAGAUAGUGGAGUACCAUCAUUUUUCAUUAACUAUUAUCAAGUUCAUCCCUACCCAUUAACAUUAAUUAAAAUGGAAAUUAAUAAACAAUAUGAAUAUGUAAGUAUUCCUCCUCAGCUCAUAAAUAGGAGGAUAAUGCGCUUCAGUGUACUCAAACCCACAUCCUCCUACAUUGAUGACAAUACACAUGUCAAUCGAACUAAAAUUCAAUCAACUGCUCAUGUUGUUGAUUUUAUAUAAUCUUUGUGGUGCUUCUUCGGAGUUCAUCCUCUUCCUCAUUCAAAAAAGCAUUUGGUAUCCCUUGUAUUAAUGUAACUGUUCUGUUCAUACUCAAAUAAAAUGUUCCCACUCAACUUUCAAAGAGCUUAAUAGUUGAGUUACCUCCAAUUAUAUAAAAUCUCCAACUAUAUCACCCAUACUGUUUUAAUUGAUGGGAUCAAUUCGCUAUGAUUUAUUAUAAGGGUGAGUGUUUGGUCGAACCGAGUAAAAAAAAUGUUGAGUUAAUCAAGUUGAUGAGUUUCAUUUUAUUAUCUUAAUUCGAUUUGAAUUUUUUUUGAAUCAAUUCGAGUAAAAUGAAAUUUGAGUCGAGUCGAAUCGAGUAAAACUGUUCGAGUUAAAUUUAAAAAAUUAAACAUAUCAAAUUAAAAUCUUAUUACAAUAUAACUAAUUUCAUUUUAAAGCAUAUCAAUUUAAAACCAUAAAUAUUUUCAAGCUCUUUUAAAGCAAAAUAAAAGAAAAAAAUAAAAUAAUUUAGUACGAUAAACUUGAAUCAUUAAUUUACUUAUUUAGGUCCCAAAAUUAUUAUUUUAGAUUUUUCUAAAAAAAUAAAUUUUUUUAUAUAUUCUUGAGAAUUCUUUUAGAAUUUUUAAUAUAUUAUUUAAAUAUAAAUUUUGAAUUUUUAUAAAUAUUUUGAUUUUUUUGUGGUUUUUGUUGAAAGAAAUCAGUUUGUUCAUUUUCAAAAUUGACAAGGAUCGAAUGAGUAUUUACCCAAUUUUUUAUUUGAGUUAUUCGAAUUAUUCGAGUUAUUCGAAUUUAAAAUUCAACUUGACUCGAAUACAAAACUCGAAUUACUUAUUUGAGUUAACUCGAAAAAACCGAAUAACUUCAUUUGAUUAACUCCAAAAUUAAAAAAAUCAAAUUUUUUUAGUUGACUUAAUUUUACUCACCCUUAAUUUAUCAGAUGAAUUGGGAUAUUUCACAUUCACACUUUAAUUAUGACACCAAUUGUAUAUAUAAAAAAAAGAUUAUGACACUAAUUACAUAGUUAACAUAUAAGUGAAUUGCAUGAUUUAAUGGGGUUAUAUGUCAUGUUUUAGAUACAUAAAUCUAUAUAUUGAUUAAAAAAAUCAUAUAUCCAUAAAAAAAUUCAAACAUAUAUAAGAUUCUCUUCACAAUAUAGAAAAGUUUAAGAAUUUUAACACUUUUAUUUUAUCAUAUUAUCUCUUUCCAAUAGUUUAUUGUCAUAUCAACAAUUUCAUCCUGAAUUUAAUAUUUUCAUUUUCAUUUGAUAUUUUUUCAAGAUGGAAAUACUGAUGGUGCAUUAAACUAUUGAAAGAAAGAUAUAGAUGAUGUGACAUCCUUGUUUCAUACAAUCAUUUUCCUAUUUGCAAGUAGGAAUAAGCAAAACUUGAUACGACUCGAAAAGAUUGAAAUUUUUUUUCAAAUUUCGAGUUCGAAUCGAGUUUAAUUUUUGAAUUUGAAUAAUUCGAAUAAACCGAAUAUCAAACUAUAAUAUUUUACAUUUUAUCUUUAAGAUAACUUUUAUUAAAAAAUAAUAUUUUUUAUAUUUAAUAUAUUUUUUAAUUUCAAAAUACAUAAUAACAAAAAUCAGAAGAUAAUUGAAGCAACUAAGCACAUAAAGAAGCUAACUUGUAACACCCCUAACCUGUAUCCGUCGCCGGAUUAGGGUUACGAGGCAUUACUAAAUAUCGAAAUCUCGUACUUAACAAAAUGAACCAAGUACCAUAACUGAAUAUAAAUAUGCGUCAUGUGUAUAUAUAUAUUUAAACCCUAAUUUAUCUCACCUAAUGAUCAAAACAGUUUGUACGUCAAAACAUAGGUCAAGCCACACCAAAUAUCAAUCAUACUUUACUAAUAAAAUUACAUUUUCAACUCAUGCUUCCAAUUUCAACCCUUUCAUUAAUAUUUACCUAAUCAAAAUUUUAUGCCAAUCAAAUACUUAAAACAUCUUUCAAACAUUUGUCGUUACAUAUCAUAUACCGAGCAUAUAUCAAAACAUCUAUUUGUCUAUAUAUAUUUCAUUAAUAAAUUAUUAACUAUGCAACAUAAUACAAACGUAGAUAACCUACCCUGUUUUGGACAGCCUUUAUACAUCAAACUUGGACAGCAUUAAUAUGCUCAAAAUGGACAGCAUUAUAACAUGUAAAUACAGCCGCAUUUGAAUAUCAUAGUAACAAGCGAAAUAAUAACAUUUUAAUGUCUUUCAAACAUAUUUGUAGCACAAUUGGGCAGCAUCAAUCAGUCACCAUUAAGACAAUUAUAAACAAUCAUUUAAACACAUUCGAGCAUAAUGUAAUUGUAACACCCCUAACCUGUAUCCAUCUCCGGAUUAGGGUUACGAGGCAUUACUAAAUAUCGAAAUCUUAUACUUAACAAAAUGAACCAAGUACCAUAACUGAAUAUAAAUAUGCGUCAUGUGUAUGUAUAUAUAUAUUUAAACCAUAAUUUAUCUCACCUAAUGAUCAAAACAGUUUAUAUGUCAAAACAUAGGUCAUUCACAAGCCACACCAAAUAGCAAUCAUACUUUACUAAUAAAAUUACAUUUUCAACCCUUUCAUUAAUAUUUACCUAAUCAAAAUUUUAUGUCAAUCAAAUACUUAAAACAUCUUUCAAACAUUUAUCAUUACAUAUUAUAUACCGAUCAUAUAUCAAAACAUCUAUUUGUAUAUAUAUAUUUUAUUAAUAAAUUACUAACUAUGCAACAAAAUACAAACGUAGAUAACUUAUCCUGUUUUGGAGAGCCUUUAUACCCCAAACUUGGACAGCAUUAAUAUGCUCAAAAUGGACAGCAUUAUAACGUGUAAAAAUAGCCGCAUUUGAAUAUCAUAGUAACAUUAUAGUAACUUAAAUUUUCUCGUAACAUUAUAGAACACUCAAUGUUUCACACACUAAUUGCCAAUCAUAUAGCCAAAGCUAUUAUAAUUCCGCACACUAAGUGCCUUACAUAGCCGAAGCUAUUACAAUUCCGCACACUAAGUGCCUUACAUAGCCAAAGCCAUUUCAAAUCGCACACUAAGUGCCAUUAAUAACCGAAGCUAUCUCGAAUUUCAUAUGAAGUGCUAAACAUAGCCAAUUUAUCAUUAAACAUGACUGUAUUCUCCUGUACACAAUUUAUGCAAUAUCAGAGCAUUAAAAGCAUAAUUGCAACAAUAUUUAUCGUGUAUAAACUUACCUGGGAUGCUAAAACAACGAUUCAAGUCGUUUAGUCCAUAACUUUAGUCUCCCCUGAUUUAGGUCCGAAUUCCGCUUUUCUUGAUCUAUAUAAUAUCAAAUUCAGCUUAUUAAAUCACUACUUUAUUCAAUUUAAUCCAAAACACACACUUGGGUAUGUUUACACUUUUGCCCCCAAAGUUUCAUAUUUUUUACAAUUUAGUCCUUAUUUCACAAAAUCACAAAUUACACAAAAUUUCAAUACACCCAUGCUUAGCUGAAUUUAUUAGAGGUCCCUAGUAGGCCAAAACUUGCAUUUAUUUCACAUUUCAACCACUCAAUUUACACAUUUCUCAAUUUAAUCCCUAAUUAGCAUUUUUAUCAAAAAUCACUUAAUAAAAUAUAAUAAUCUAUCAACAAAUAUUUAUUUUUCAUCAUCAAAAAACAAAAAUCUUGAAUAUUCAUUAAUGGAAUUUCACAAAAUCAUCAACAAUUUCAAAAAGUAAGACAAGGGCUAGCUAGUAUACGAAGCAACGAUUUCAAAAACAUAAAAAUCAUCAAAAACGAAAUAAAAAUAGACUUACAAUUGAGCUUAAAAGUGGCCGAACCUUAGCAAGCUUGUUAAUGGCUUUCUCUUCUUCAACAUUCGGCCAACAAAAAGAUAAACAUGCAUGAUUUUUUUUUAUGUUUUGUUUUAUUUAUUACAUAAUAAUAUUCAAUUUACCUCUUUACCCUUAAUGAAUAAACAUAAAAAUUUUAUAAUGCAUGUCCAUUAAUGUCCAUUAACACUGCCAAUGGUCUAUUAUCAUUAUAAGGACUUUUAAUUUAAUUAAUCAUAGCAAUUGAGCACUUUGAACAAAUAGUAUGCAACUUUUGUAUUUUACGCGAUUAAGUCCUUUUAUCAAUUUAACUAACCAAUCGGUAAAAUUAAAUCACAACAUUUUCACAUAUAUCAAAUAACAUGUUGCAAAUACCAAAAAUAAUAUUAAAAUAAUUUUACGAUCUCAAAUUAUUGUUUCCAAACCACUAUUCUGAUUUAGCUAAAACCGGGGUGUUACAACUCUCUCCCCUUAGGGAUUUUCGUCCCCAAAAACUUUACCAGUGUAUAGGUUUGACUAUUGCUCUCUCAUAGCAUCCUCGGGCUCCCAUGUACCUUCUUUAACCCCGUGUCGAUACCAUAAUACUUUCACUAAUAAAAUUUUCUUAUUUCUCAGUUCUUUAACCUCGCGAUCUAAAACUCGGAUCGGUUCUUCUUCGUAUGCCAUAUCAGACUGAAUCUCAAUCUCAGACAGGGAAAUCACAUGUGAGGGAUCGGAUCGAUAUCGUCGAAGCAUCAAUACAUGAAAUACAUUAUGAAUCUUUUCUAAUUCAGGUGGCAACAACAAUCUAUAAGCAACUGGCCCGAUACGCUCGAUAAUUUCAUACGGCCCAAUAAAUCUCGGACUUAACUUACCUUUUCUGCCAAAUCUAAGUAUUUUUGUUCUAUGGAGAUACUUUCAAAAAUACUCGAUCCCCAAUCUGAAACUCAAUAUCUUUUCGUUUCAAAUCUGCGUACGAUUUCUGAUGAUCUGGUGCUGCUUUCAGACUAUCACUUUCACUUUCACUUUCUGUUCAGUCUCUUUAAUCAAAUCAACCCCGUUAAUCUUAUUCUUACUAAGUUAGGUCCAGUACAAAGGUGUUCCGCAUUUGCGACCGUAUAAAGCUUCGUAAGGUGUCAUUUUUAUACUCGAUUGAUAGCUGUUAUUAUACGCAAAUUCAAUCAACGGCAAAUACUUUUCCCACAUACUUUCAAACUCAAGAAUGCGACAUCGUAACAUAUCCUCGAGUAUCUAAAUAACUCACUCAUAUUGUCCAUCCGUCUGUGGGUGAAAAUCAGUACUGAAAUGUAGCUUUGUACCUACUGCAUCUUGCAGUUUCUUCCAAAAUCGCGAUGUGAACCUCGGAUCUUUAUCCGAAACAAUGGAAAUAGGUACUCCGUGCAAUCUCACAACCUCGAAAAUAUACAACUUAGCUAACUUAUCAAGCGAAUAGUUCGUUCGUACUGGAAUGAAAUGAGCUGAUUUCGUCAAUCUGUCAACUAUAACUCAGAUCGCAUCUUUCUUUCUCGGAGAUAGGGGCAAUCCCAAUACAAAAUCCAUAGUCACUCUAUCCCAUUUCCACUCAGGAAUCAUAAUCGGCUGCAAUAAACCAGACGGUACCUGAUGCUCAGCUUUAACUUGCUGACAUAUCAAACAUUUAGAAAUGAACUCUGAGAUGUCACGUUUCAUACCAGACCACCAGUAAAGUUGUUUCAGAUCAUUAAACAUUUUCAUGCUUCCUGGAUGAACAAACAAACGACUACUAUGAGCUUCAUUUAAAAUCAUCAGAAUUAACUCUGAAUUUCUUAAUACACAUAUUCGGUCUCUUAAUCUUAAACAAUCAUUAGCAUCAACUCGAAACUCUGAAUCAGAAUUCAAAUCACAUUGAGCCUGUUUUGCUAACAAUUCACUGUCAACUUUCUGAGCUUCGCAAAUCUGCUGCAUAAAUAACGGUCUUGCAUUCAAAUCAGCUAUAAUCGAGCCAUCAUCAAAUAGAGCCAACUGAGUAUUCAUUGCACGUAGAGCAAACAAAGAUUUCCAACUUAAAGCAUCAGCAACAACAUUGGUCUUUCCCGAAUGGUAGUCAAUCACUAGCUCGUAAUCUUUUAACAAUUCCAACCAUCUUCGCUGUCGCAAAUUCAAAUCUUUCUGAGUCAUCAGAUAUUUCAAACUCUUGUGAUCUGAAUAGAUAUGACAUUUCUCACCGAAAAAAUAAUGACGCCAAAUCUUCAACGCGAACACGAUAGCUGCUAAUUCCAAAUCGUACGUCGGGUAAUUCUUUUCAUGCGACUUUAAUUGUCUCGAGGCAUAAGCUAUGACUUUGCAUUCUUGCAUCAAAACACAACACAAACCAUUCAACUAUGCAUCACUAUAAAUUACAAAUUCCUUACCCGAUUCUGGCUGUACUAACACUGAAGCUUCAGCCAAUAGAGCUUUCAGCUGAUCAAAACUUUUCUGGCACGUAUCCGACCACUCGAACUUAAUAUAUUUCUGAAGUAGUCUCAUCAACGGAGUUACAAUCAUUGAGAAACCUUUUACGAAUCGUCUGUAAUAACCGACGAGUCCCAAAAAACUUCGGACUUCAGAUACAUUUUUUGGAGGCUUCCAAUCCAGUAUUGUCGAAAUCUUACUCGAAUCAACUCGAAUACCCGAUGCUGACAUAAUAUGCCCCAGAAAACUAACUUCUCGUAACCAGAACUCACAUUUACUGAACUUUGCAAAUAGUUGUUUAUCUUGCAAAGUCUGUAGCACCACUUUCAGAUGUUCAGCAUGCUCAGAUUCAUCACGGAAAUAGAUCAAGAUGUCAUCUAUAAACAAAACAACAAAUAUAUCCAAAUAUAGUCGGGAGAUCCGAUUCAUUAGAUCCAUAAAAAUAUCAAGAGCAUUCGUUAGUCCGAAAGGCAUAACUAAAAACUCAUAAUGCCCGUACCUCGUCUGGAAAGCAGUUUUUGGCACAUCUGAGUCUUUAACUCGCAGCUGUAAUAACCUGAUCUCAAAUCUAUCUUAGAAAACAUUAUAUCCCCUUUUAGCUGAUCAAACAAAUCAUCUAUUCGUGGCAAAGGAUAUUUAUUCUUGAUGGUCACUUUAUUGAGCUGGUGAUAAUCAAUACAUAUUCUCAUAGUUCCAUCUUUCUUUUUCACAAAUAAUACUGGAGCACCCCAGAGAGAAAAAUUCGGUCGUACAAAUCCCCUAUCAGUCAACUCUUGCAACUGAGAUUUCAAUUUUUUUAACUCGGUUGGAGCCAAUCUAUAUGGAGCUAUUGAUAUCGAGUAGUUCCCGGCACUAAUUCAAUACCAAAUUCAACUUCUCGAAUCGGUGGUAAUCCCGGUAGCUCUUCAGGAAAUACAUCUAGAUACUCACACACAACUGGCACAUAUUCAAUCUUCUUUUCAGUUAUUUUUGUAUCAAGAACAUAAGCAAAGUAAGUUUCAUAGCCUUUUCUCACAUAACUCUGAGCUUUCAUCAACAAAAUCAUAGCCGGCAACCCAUUCAGAUCAUUUGACUCAAUUCGGAUAAUCUCAUUAUUCUGACAUUUCAAAUCAAUCGUCUUUCGUUUGCAUAUCACAAUCGCAUCAUGUAACGUUAGCCAAUCUAUACCCAGAAUUAUAUCAAAUUCACACUACACCAAAACAGGCUUUUAAAGCGCCGCUAAAAUUAUUUGCGGCGGUUUGAGAAGCACCGUAAAAAAUGCCGUUAAUGACUGCGUCGCUAACUGUAGCAGCGUUUUUAGAAAUAAACGCCGCUAAAGACCAUGACCUUUAGCGGCACUUCUCCGACAAACGCCGCUAAAGACAAUGACCUUUAGCGGCGCUUUCCAAACAAACACCGCUAAAGACUCUGAUCUUUAGCGGUGCUUUUCCCACAAACGCCGGUAAAGACCCUGAUCUUUAGCUACGCUUUUCCCAAAAACGCCGCAAAUGACCAUGACCUUUAGUGGCGUUUUUUUAAAAAACGCCACUAAUUUUGGCAGAUUUAUAAAAGAUAUUUUUUUAUAUUUUCAGCCCUCCUAUAAAAAUAAAUCAGAAGAAACCAAGUCUAAACCAACCGAAAGUAAUAAAUCUAUAUAAUAUUUAAAAUUAAACGAAUAAUAUAUAAUAAAUAUCAAUAAAUAAAAUAAAAUUCGUAUUAUUCUUACAAAAAUGUUAAAAGUUAAAAUAAUAAUUAAAAGUCAAAAUUGAUGUAUAUUUACACGAUAGUCUAAGACGGCGACUGUUGCGACUGCCGAAACAUCUUCAUCAUAUUUUGAAGCUGCUGCUGGAGUUCAUCGUACUUUCUACGCUGCUCUGCUUCCCUCACUGCAGCCUCUACUUCCCUCGCUGCAACCUCUGCUUCUCUCGCUGCCGUAUCUGCUUUAAGCUGCAGCUGGAGUUCUUCAUACUUUCGUUGAACCUCAGCUUCUCUCGCUGCUGCAUCUGCUUUAAGUUCUAGCUGGAGUUCUUCAUAUCUUUUUUGAACCUCAACUUCUCUCGAUGCUGCCUCCGUUUUAAGUUGUGUAAUUUGCUCAACUAUUGUCGCUUGCAUCUGAGCCAUCUGGUCUCUUAACAUUUUAACUUUAGCUUGAGCCUGACUCCUCGAAGGCAUGUAUUGUUGCGAGCUGGAUCCAAAAUAUUGGGAUGGGUUAACAAAAGAUCCUUGAAAUCGGACCCGACCAUACCUUUCAGGACCCAAAACUUCAGUGAUAAUCCGGUUAUCAAUGUCGUCAAUAUGAACAGAACUAUCACUGGAAGCAAUCGCUUCGUACUCCGCCUUUUUAUCAUUUAGUUUUUCCUAAAAAAUAAAUCACAUAGUUAGGAACGCAAUAUAUAUUAAAAAAAAACAAAUGCAACAUAACUUAACAAUAUUUGCAUUACAAGAAAUGAAAUAAACCAUUAGAAAAUAAACACUAUAAAUAAUUAAAACAAGUCAAAUUGUAUUAAGCAAACGUACCAUAAUUUCUGCAGCUUUAGGAGUCAUAAGGUUUCCAUCUUUCUUCCUAUGUGUAAUGUCAAAAAGUUGAAGGUGUCCAACUUUUUGACCGGACGAUAGUUCCUACAAUACAAUAGUAAAAAUAUUAUUUGAUAGAAAGUAAUAAAUAUCUGCCAGUAUUAAAAAUUCAAAAUCCUCGGCCCGAGCUACACACGUAAAACUUUUCGACCCAGCUGUGUGAGUGAAUUUUUGUUUCUGCCUACUACUUUUUCCAACUCGUUCACGAUCCUACGUUAUGAAAUUAUUAGUACGUUAAUUAGUAAAUACUAUACACCAAAAUAAUUACAAGAUUUUUGUAGUAACACAUACCUCUCAUUUCUUCGAAGUCUAAAAUUUAACGACCUCUUCCCACUGGUACCUCAGCAUUCCCAGCGGGACAUUUUGUAAUUUCUCAUCGAGUGUUGUUUUUGUCUUAAAAUAGUAUUUCUUUAAAGUGCUCUUAUGAUCUCUCCAUCUUUUUCUCAAUGCCUUCUUUACAUAAGCAUCGGAGACCUCUAGAGCAAAUCUCGCCUAAAAAAACACAAGUUAAGAAAGUAAAUAUAAAUGAAACUUAAACCCAAGUAUUAUAAAUGACAUUAACGUUUUGUUACCUUAAUGUUAUCGAGAGCUUGGUUCUUGUUACUCUCGGGUAUUUUAUGCCAUGACUCGAAGUUAAUUGGCAACAUAUUUGCAUUCCGUGCUAGAAUGCCCAUGUAUCCUGCUAAAAGGUGAGUUUCUGAUCCAACGGGCUGACCAAAGCUAUUACUGGAUACUUUGACACGCUCGACUGGAUCUAGCUCGUAUAAAUCCCUCAGUAGCGUACGUCCUCGAACUCUCCGCAUCCCACCACUUUCAGCUGGAAAAUGUUAUAUUGUAAUAUAAGAAUUUUAAAAAUAAAUAAGCAAUAAGUCAACACGCAUGUAAAUUAAAUGUUAAAUUACUUUCAACUUCUGUAGGUUCCUCAGGUGUAAUCGGAACAUUCGAAGAUCCAAUAGCAGUCUGUUGUUCAGUGAUGUUUGUUCCCGCCGAGUUUGGAGUCCCUUGAAGAAUGCUUAGCUCUCACACUUUUCUUCUAGGCAUUUUAGUUGCAAAACAAAUAAAAUAGUUGAAAGCAUAGUAUACAAUUACAACAAUAAUAGCACAUAUAAAAUAGUUGAAAUAUAUAAUAAGACCAAUAUUUAUAUUAUGAUAUCACAUAUAAUUAAAUAAUUCUAAAAGCUUACUACAUUAUAAUUCGUAAAUAUCUUCAUCCGUAUCCUGGCGGACCCAUUAAAAUUGUGUACUAGUACUAGGGAUGUUUUCGUUUAAGUUUUUUUCUGGAAAGGGUAAAGUUUCUGUUCUGUUGUCAAUGCCAUCUCUACUUCCACUGCCCAUGUCAAACAAGUCUCUAGGGAUGUUACGGAGUACAACGUACCAACCCUCAUCAGUUGGAUCUUUUGAGUAAAAAACUUGUUUGACUUGAGAAGAAAAUACAUACGGCUCAUCAAUCAAUUGUUGUCCUGUGUGAAUCAAUCGAGCGAAGUUUACCAUUGUGAAACCAAAUUGAUCUUGCUUAAUUCCACAAGCAGUAAUAACAUCGGCCCAAUCACCUCGAAAUAAGAUAACUUUCCAUUUGCCGUAGUAAUCCAACUCAAUUAUGUCAGUAAGAAGUUCGAAAUAUUCCACAUUUCCCUUGACAGGAUUAUUGUCCCUAGCACUAGCAUAGCUUGUAAUUGAGGAAUUAACAACUAUUACACAAUUUUGCGUUCUCCUCAUCUCUCGCGAUAUUUUGUAUGAAAUCUGAAUCCGUUGAUGAGGAACAAACUAUAUCUUUUAACCACCCGAUUUGGACCUUGGGAAAGCCAUUUAACUUCGUCGGUGACGUUCUUCCCACUCCAAACCUAUUGAAUGGAAAGUAAACUGAGUAAUUAAAUAUGUUUUGAGUAAAUAUUAUUAUUUGUCGGUGAAAGCUCCAAUUGCAUACCGUUUGGCUUAACCAUUCAUGAAAAGAUUAUGUGAACAACUUAUUGAUAUCUCGAUGUUGUGUUCUUCGGGAGCACGAACGAGAUCUCAAUAUUUGUUUGUACUGACUAUGUUAAAAAUAUGUUCAGUUUGUUAGAAUAUAAACAAUUUUUAAUUGAUGAAUAUUUAUCAAAUUUCUAGAACUUACUUGCGUAAAGGUUCCAUUGAUUCGUGGUGAAACAGAGCAUAUCGAUGUGCUUGUACCCACGAUAAAUCAUCUAAUUCUGCAAUUUCAACUUUGUCGAUUGGUUCUCCAAAACUUUGGAACAAAUAAGUAUAGGCAAAGUUAUGAUCCGUGAGUCUAGCAUUUCUAUUUGGUCUGUCAACCUUAUUUCAACAUCUUCCAAAUAUCUUGAACAGAAGGUCAUACAUUCCUCUGCCAAGUAGCCUUCAGUAAUUGAUCCUUCUGGAUAACGCUUUUUGCGGCAGUAAGACUUUAAUUUGGAUAGGAACCUAAACACGAUAUACAACAUUAUCAAAAGUUGUAACUAAAGGCAUAUAGGUGAAUGAAGGAAAAUUUUAAAAAUAGUAAUUAACACAUUUCCAUGGGAUACAUCCAUCGAUAGAAAACGGGUCCGCCAAGAAUUGCUUCAUGCAGGAGAUGGAUUAUCAAGUGAACCAUAAUAGUGAAGAAGGAAGGUAGGAAGAUUUUCUCCAUGUUGCAUAAAGUCAAAGCGGCUCGAUUCUGUACCUUCUGAAGUUCUUGAACAUCCAAAACUUUGCCACAAAUGGCUUUCAUUAUAUUGGAUAGUUCAAUUAUACAAUACGUCACCUUCUUCGAAAUACAACAUCGUAGAGCAACUGGCAGUAAAUCUUGCAUCAAGAUGUAAUAGUCAUGUGAUUUUAGCGAAUAUAGUCUUCAAUCUUUAACACUAACACAUCGAGAUAUAUUUGAUGCAUACGCAUCUGGAACCUUUAUAUCCUUCAACACCAUGCAAAACACUUCUUUCUCUGUCUUCGCCAUUGAGAAAAUAGAAGGCGGCAACUGAUAUUUCCCAUUCGGAAUAGGAUUUGGAUGAAGAUCAGUUCGAAUUCCCAUGUCGACUAAAUCAAGUCGACUCUGAAGAUUGUCUUUUGAUUUUCCGUCUACAUUCAAAAUUGUACCGACAAUGUUCUCGCAGACAUUUUUCUUAAUAUGCAUAACAUCAAGAUUGUGCCGUAAAAGGUGAUGCUCCCAAUAAGGUAACUCAAAAAAAAACUUCUUUUUUUUCCAAAAUUCCACCUCAUUAGGAUCAUCCUCUUCAUCGGAGUCAUCAUCAGCUUCAUCAUUUGAUCUUCUAUUUCUUUACGUGUUUACCGGUUGGUUCAUCUUCCCAUAAUUGAAAUUCAUAUCUUCUAACAUUAACAAGAUUUCAGAUCCACUUGUCUGUGAAUGAGCUUCUCUGAACUCUUCAGUACCGUCAAAUGCUGAACUCUGAAAUCUAAAUCUAUGAUUUUUCGAUAACCACCGACGAUGCCCUAUAUAAGAGAACUUAUUCCCAUUGUAUAAUCAUUGCGAACAUGUUCGUGCAGCACAACAAGGACAAGCAUAACGACCCUUGGUACUCCAACCGGAUAAAUUGGCAUAAGCGGGGAAGUCAUUAAUAGUCCACAUCAAAGCUGCACGUAAAUUAAAGUUCUCCUUUCUCAGCACAUCGUAUGUUUCGACACCAGCCCAUAAUUGUUUUAACUCUUCAAUAAGUGGCUGUAAAUAAAUGUCGAUAUCAUUCCCGGGCCCUUUCUCUCCAGGGAUAAUCAUAGAUAAGAUAAGGGAAGAUUACUUCAAGCAAAUCCACGGAGGCAGAUUGUAAGGAACAAGCACUACUGGUCAAGUACUGUACGCAGUACUCAUGAUCUUGUAAGGAUUAAAUCCAUUAGAUACUAGGCCAAGUCUCACACUCCUAGGAUCACUUGCAAAGCUUGGAAAUUUAUUGUCAAAUGAUUUCCAAGCUAAAGAAUCUGUCGGAUGCCUUAAUAAUCCAUCAUUGGUUCGUCCAUCAUGGUGCCACGUCAUUGACUCCGCUGUCUUCGACUACAUGAAAAGCCUUUGAAGCCUUGGUAUCAGCAGAAAAUACCACAAAAUCUUGACCGGCUUCUUUCUUGGCUGUGCAUCAUUUUCAAAGUCGUUCUCAUCUUCUGUGUUUCUAUUUAUCCGACGGGAUUCGUCGCAUACAUGACAACACUGUUGGUUUCUCCGAUCGCCCCAAUACAACAUGCAGUCAUUCGGGCAACUAUGGAUUUUGUUGUACCCAAGACCUAAGUCUUUUAUCAUUUUCUUCAUAUCUUUUCAUGAAUGAGGGAUUUUUGCAAACGGAAACAUUUCUCUCAAAAACUCUAACAGCAUUGUCAAUGAGUUCCCGGUCCACCCUCCAAAACAUUUUAACUGGAAAAGACAAACGUAGAAAGACAUUUUUGAAAAUUUCGAUCCCUCAUAUAGUUAUUCGUUCAUCUCAUUAAGUAGCGCGUAAAACUUUGCCGCUUCUGCAUUCGACUCUUCAUGAGGUACACUUGUUCCCGGUUCGGUAAAAGCAUUUGCACCAACAUUACAAUCAUCAGAUGCCAUAAAGUCGACUGGGAACAACUGAAAACCAUGAUUGUGCAUAUUAAAUGCAUCCCGCAACAUACCUUCCAUGUCAUCCCCUCCAGCAGACUCAUGGUAAGCAGUACCAGGAUACGAUACAUCCAUCGUUGAAUAGGAGGUACUAGGCGGGCAUUCUCUAUGAAAAAGCCAUUUUUUAUAACCCCAAACAAACCCAUCAA